UUUCUUUAAGUAGCAAGACUUGUCCAAGGUAUUGUAAGUGAAUUUACCAUGUCAAACUAUAAACCAAUAUGUCAUCGAAGAAAACCAAUACAAAGUUAUGGAAAUAUAGCCUGAAUAUAUCAUUCAUAGUGACUUAAAUGGUUGAUGUCAUAUUAGAAAAUCCUAGAAGCAUCACCAUAAAUUUUUAAUGGUUAUUAUGUAUUCAAAAGGUUAUUUUGGGAUCAUCAGCAGCUUUAACCGUUAUCAGAUGGUAGCCAAAGGGCAAAUAUAACUUUUAAAAAUGACAAGCAUCGUGUAGCUCAUCAAAACCUCCAAGUCUCAUCCUUCUUGUUUACCAACAAUAGAGAGGAAAAAAAUGGACUAGUGUUGGGAUGAAUUGCCCCUUCCUUUAGCAAAUUAGAAAUAAGUUUCUCCAUGAUUUGUUUAUAAUAAUAAGGAUAAUAAUAUGGCUCACAGGACCAGAAUUCGCCUGAAGGGGAAUAGCAUGGUCCUGCGAUUGAACUGAUGGUAAUACUUGAGGCUUCUAAAAAGCAUCUUUAAAGCUGGUUAAGACUGAUUAAUGAUCUAAACGAUGAUCAAAAUUGAUAGUGCUUCCAUUUUGCACAAUCAUUAAGCAAUAAUAAGAGGAUAUAGAAUCUGUCACGGAGUACCAAUGUAAUGUUUGAAGUUGCAAAGGUUGUGCAUUCGUGGGAGGUUCACCAAACCACCGGAUCCCUCUAUCACCCAAUGUGAAUUCAAAAAUCUGUGCUCUAUAAUCAAUUAUAUUUGGUCCUAGAGUGACCAACCAUGAAUUUCCCAACACAAUAUAUGCACCAUGUAUUGGUAGGACAAAAAAGUCCAAAGUGAGCUCCACGCCUGAUACUGUUGAGGAAACCCCUUAAGCAAUUCCCUCAUUGUAGUAACAAUGGCCACUUUCUAACAUCACAUAAAAUGUUAGAAGUUUGUGUAAUCUUGAGAUUGAGGAAUUUUGCAACACGAGAUUACACCAACUAAUGGAUGUUCCAACUAUCAAAAGGACCUAAAUUGGUGAUUCUCAAACAAGCCCUAAAAUUCUCAGAGUUGUUUUAGAGUGACCUCCAUCCAAAGCGUGGUAGGUGACGGUAGCGAGUGUCUCUAGAUAUAAGGUUUUGGAGAACAUUAGUGAUAAAAUCCUUAGGUAAGAAAGUUUUAAGCAACUGAAAGAUAAAGUCAGUCUCAUCCUCCAAAAGUAGAAGUUGUGGAAGAACUCUACAUUUGUGGGCUGGAAUGUAUUUUUCAUCAUGAUGAUAACACAAACCUUUCUUUCAUUGAUAUUGUAGCUCUUUUCUCGUGAGACAUUUGAAGGGAAGUUUUCUGGUCAAAUUCUGACUGAAUUUGUUGAACUGAAUAAUAGGCAAAGGUAAAAAGGGUUGGGUCUUUCUAGUUUAGGCCCCCAUUCUUGUAACGAACCGGGGUUACCCCUAGUCGUCACACGGUGCUUAUGGUCCCAAGGGAUCACAAGCUAAUCCAUGAGCUGGUACUUGCUGUGAGCACUGAAUAAUAACAUCAUAAAUGCAGAAAAAUACUGACAUUUCUAUAAGGUUUUAAUAACUAAAUUCAAUACUGGAAUAUAAAUCUAUAGAAAAUAAUUGUCUAUAUUGGAGAAAAAUACUGAGAAACUAACAUGUCAACUGGAAAUCUGAAUACUAAAUAACUGACUCAAAUGUCUUAAAAGCCUCUAAGACUGACUGACUGAGAGUUAAUGGGACAGGCCCCCAACUAACUGUACUAACUACUGAGAUAAAGACAUGAAGUAAUAUAAUCUGUCUUCGGAUGAUAAGGACUCACCACCACUACUGUACUACUGAUGAUCUGAAGGAGAAAGUGCAAUCUAGUAACUGAGCUUUGGCACCUAUGAUAUGAUACAUCAUAGCGCAAAAGAAAGGUAUACAAUCAGUACUUUGAAUGUACUGGUAUGAUAAAUGAGGUAGGCUGAUAUGCAUAGUUUCAUAAAUGGGAAUAAUAAUUACUAACUGAUUAUACAUGUAAAACAUAGAGUACUGAGUAGAGAACAUAAAAUCCAUAGGUACUAUGUGAAGCAUAUAAAUACUGUGUAUGCAUGAAAAUCUAUAAAUUCUGAAGAUACGUGAAAAUCUAUAGACACUGAGGAUGCAUGACCAAGCAUAUAUCAAGAACUGAGUAAAGUCUGUAAAUUGAGAUACUGAAAGGACUGACAUCUGUAUGCCUUGGCCAAACAACACUAACACUGAGUAACUGAAUAGGGACUAUGACUGAGACUGUAUUUGAGACUGUGGGAGGUAUCAUCUAACCGACAUGCCCCAAUCUGAGCUAAUCAGGGUCCGUCCAGGAACCCCAGUUAGAUGGGUGUUAAUACUAUGCCACGGGUACUAACAUUGGUUGUGUGGAUCCACUAAACUGAUAUAAUGUCCAAAGGACUAAGGGAGUCAAGCCUAAACUGACGGAUGACCCCAGCGAGAUAUUCAAUCCUAAUCUGACGGGUGACUACUCAUAUCCUAUGCUGACUAUGUAGUCCUGAAGUAUAGGGACUGCUACUAACGACUCUACCUAUCUGACAGGGAAGCCACCAUCCCUGCACUCGCUCGGUGCUAAAUCCUACUCCCAAUUGAAAGACACAGAGAUACUAGACUGUUCUGAGUUUAAUGACUGAUAUCUGACUAUUCUGAUAAUGAUCAUAGUAUAAUCUGAAGACUAUUUUGUAAUGUACUGAGACUAGACUAAACAAAUAGCUAUGGUUUUUGGGUAUUCAAUACCCCCAGGACUCAAAACAACAAUACUGAAAAGACACUAAAGCUUAGGGGACAAAGCAUGAAGGUUUUUAUUAAAUCAAUCACUCUUGUAGACAUUUUAUCAAACACUUGUAGUUCAUGGUUCAAAUAAAUCAUAGGAAUGUCCUAAAACAUAUAGAAAAAGCAUAAAUCCGACAUAAUAGAGUUAAAUCAUGGUUUUGUUCAAUAAAUAAUAAUAUUAAAAUAUAGAGGAUUGAAUAAUAACAAUAAUUUCAUGGUAACAUGGUAUAAAAUCAUAGUUCAUGGAGAUUCAUGGGUGAAAUCACAAUUUAAAACAUAAUAACUUGAAAAGAUCAUAAUUUUAUAAUUUUAAAGGGUUGCUUAGACUCCAUGGAUGAAAGGGAUCCAUGGGUGAACAUCUAACAUACCUUAAUGGAUGAACUUCUUGAAGUUCUUUGUGAGUUCUUGAGGAUUGGCCUUGAAAUUGGAGAGCUAGGGUUCUUCAUUUGGGAGAGAAAGCUUCUUGAUUUGGGGGAAAAUAAUUAAAAUAAUGAGUUAAAAAUAUUUUUAGGGCUUAAAAGUACACCUGGGCGAAUUAAAAUUAGGAAAUAUGACCGUUUUACCCCUGAGCAAAACUUUUAAUUUUCGUCAAUUUUUUUAAAUGGGAACUUGGCGCGAUGCGGCGCUAUCGCGCCAUGUCACUGGAAACUGACAACUGGGAACUGCGCCAACGGCGCAAUGCGCCAUUAUCGUGGCAAACCUUUGGAUGUCAUUUUGGCCACCUCCACGAUGCGCCAACAUCGCAGAGGCCCACUGAAAAUUGACAAAAGAAAGAUUGGCCUGCUCCACAAUGCGCCAUAACCGUAGAGUCACGCUAGAAAUUGACAAUUGUCAUUAAGGUUGCCUACGCGACAUACUAAGGGUUAAAAUGACGGUGUUUAAAGACUGAAACUUUAAAUCACCAUAACAUCUUACCCGGUUAUCGGAUUUAGGCAAAUUUUAUAUCGUUGGAAAGCUAGUUCAAUUUCCUAUGCAAUGGUAGGCUCUAAACUAAAAAACAAUGAGUGUUUCAAAAAUUUUAUAUAUGAAUACUUAUGUAUUGGGACUUAGAUUAUGCUAGUGAAAUACAAGGUGUUACAACAUCUCCCCCUUGGGAUCAUUCAUCCUCGAAUGAAACUGGUUAAGCUGAGGAAAAUGAUGGACUGAGCUUACACACUGAAUAUGCAUGUCUGAUGCAUAGAAUGCAUGACUGAACUGAUUCAUGAAUGCAAGAUUAACAUGAACAUGAUGUGUGGCUGAAACUGAGAAUGAUAGAGAAAAAAUUUAAGAAGAUUGGUACCUUACACUGAAUCUGGAUACUCGGAGAAAAGAUGAGGGUACUUGAUCCACAUAUCUGCUUCUUCUUCCCAAGUGGCUCCCUCAACAAACUGAUUUCACCAAAGAACUUUGACUAGUGGAACUUCUUUGUUUCUUAAUCUACGAACUUGAUGAUCAAGAAUUUCGGAUGGAACUUCCUCAUAGGAAAGACUAUUCUGAAUAUCUACACUUUCUAAGGGAACAACUAUAGCUAUAUCACCAAUAUACUUUUUCAACAACGAGACAUGAAACACUAGGUGUAUUGAGGCUAGAUCUGAAGGCAACUCAAGCUCAUAAGCUACCUUUCUAGAGUGACUGAGAAUUCUUAAAGGACCGACAUAUCGGGGAUUGAUUUUCUCUUUUUUACCGAAUCUCUUCACUCCCUUCAUGGAAGAGAUUUUCAAGUACACAAAAUCCUUGACCUCAAACUCGAGAUCCUUUCUCCUCACAUCUACAUAUGAUUUCUGUUGUGACUGGGAAGCCCUAAGACUUUCUCGGAUCAACUGAACCUUCUCGAAGGCAUCAAACACCAAGUCAGGACCUACUACUGCAACCUCACCUACUUCAUACCAACCAAUUAGAAAUCUACAUCUCCUACCAUAGAGAGCCUCAAAUGGAGCCAUACGGAUACUGGAAUAAUAGUUGUUAUUGUAUGCGAUCUCAAUCAAAGGCAAGUGGUCAUCCCAACUACCUCUAAAAUUAAUCGCAUAUACUCUCAGUAUAUCCUCAAGAGUCUGAAUGGUCCUUUCUGCUUGACCGUCUGUCUGAUGGUGAAAAGUGGUACUGAGGUGGAUUUGGGUACCAAGACCCUUUUAGAAUGCUUUCCAAAAGUGAGAGGAAAACUCAGUGCCUCUAUCUGAGAUGAUAGAUAAGGGAACGCCGUGCGCCCUAACCAAUUCUCUGAGAUAGAGUUUGGUAUAGUCCUCAAUUGAAUAAGAGAUAUGGAUUGGAAAGAAAUAAGUUGAUUCGGUCAUCCUGUCUACGAUAACCCAAAUAGAAUCAUGUUGAUGACGGGUACGAGGCAAACUUAUCACAAAAUCCAUGUUCACUUCCUCCCAUUUCCACAUGGGAAUACUGAACUCCUGCAUGGACCCACUAGGCUUCUAGUGCUCAACCUUAAUUUGCUGACAUGUAGAGCACUUAGCUACAAACUCUAUAAUAUCUUUCUUUAUCCCACUCCACCAAUAGAUCUCCUGCAAAUCGUGGUACAUCUUAGUGGCCCCUAGAUGAAUAGAGUAACGCACACCAUGCGCUUCUACAAAAAUUCGUUUCCUUAAAUCAUCUACACCAGGCACACACAAUCUACCCUGAUAGUGCAACACAUCAUGUCCUCCUUAGGAGAAAACCUCUACUUUCUGAUCUCUGACCGAUUUCUUCAACUUAACUAGACUGGGAUCUCUAUCCUACUUUUCCUUUACCUCGAAAAAUAGAGAUGAUUCUGAGCUACUCUGCACCCACACACUACUCUCUGCUGAGUCGACUAAGUGGACACCUAGUCGGGCAAGCUGAUGAACUUCAUGAGCUAACUUCUUCUUACCAUCCUCAAUGUGGGAAACACUACCCAUAGACAAUCUACUGAGAGCAUCAGCCACUAGAUUGGCCUUACUCAGAUGAUACAGAACACUCAAGUCAUAAUUUUUCAAUAACUCUAACCACCUUCUCUAACGUAAAUUCAAAUCUUUCUGAGAGAACACAUACUGGAGGCUUUUAUGAUUUGUGAACACAUCUACAUGCACUCCAUACAAUUAAUGCCUCCAAAUAUUUAAGGCGAAUACUACUGCUAGCUCAAGUUCAUGGGUCGGAUAAUUCUUUUCAUGAGGGUAAAGUUGUCUGGAGGCAUAGGCUAUGACCUUACCUCUCUGCAUAAGGACACAACCCAAACCUACUUUAGAUUUAUCGCAGUACAUAAAAAACCCAUCGAAACCAUCUGGUAGAGUAAGAACUGAGGGCUGAGGUGAGUCGAGUCUUCAACUCCUGAAAACUCUUUUAGCAUGAAUCUGACCACUGAAACUUAACUUUCUUCUAAGUCAAUAUGGACAUGGGGGUGCAAUAGAAGAAAACCCUUCAAUAAACCGACGGUAAUAGCCAGCUAAACCCAAGAAACUCCAAAUAUCUGACGGAGAGAUGGAGAAACUUUUCCUAAACGCCUUGUAGCCUCUUGUCCAUAAGUGGCGUGCUACACACCCAUACACAAGACUCUACUCGAUGCGGUUUUAGACUUCCUAGGACACUUUAAAACCUUAGGCUCUGAUACUAAGUUUGUAAUGACCCGGGACUACCCCCUAGUUGUCACACGGUGCUUAAGGUCCCGAAGGACCACAAGCUAACCCAUGAGCUGGUACCUGCUAUGAGCACUGAAUAACAACAUCAUAAAUGCAGAAAAAUACUGACAUUGCCAUAAGGUUUUAAUAACUGAAUUCAAUAUUGGAAUAUAAAUCUAUAGAAUAACUAUCCACAUUAGAAAAAAAUAAUGAGAAACUAACAUGUCAACUGUAAAUCUGAAUACUGAAUAACUGACUCAAAUGUCUAAAAUUUCUCUAAGACUGACUGACUGAGAGUUGAUGGGAUAAGCCCAUAACUAACUCUACUAACUACUGAGAUAAAUACAUGAAGUAAUAUAAUCUGUCCUCGAAUGAUGAAGACUCACCACUGCUAAUGUACUGCUGAUGAUCUGAAGGACUAAGUGCGAUCUGAGAACUGAGCGUCAGCACCUAUGAUAUAAUACAUCAUAGCGCAAAAGAAAGGUAUGCGAUCAGUACUUUGAAUGUACUGGUAUGAUAAAUGAGGUAAGCUGAUAUGCAUGGUUUCAUGAAUAGGAAUAAUAAUUACUAACUGAUUAUACAUGUAAAACAUAGGGUACUGAGUAGAGAACAUAAAAUCCAUAGGUACUGAAAAUAUAUGAAGCAUAUAAAUACUAUGUAUGCAUAAAAAUUUGUAAAUACUGAAGAUACAUGAAAAUCUAUAGACAUUGAGGAUGCAUGACCAAGCAUAUAACAAGAACUAAGUAAAGUCUGUAAACUGAGAUACUGAAAUGACUGACAUCUGUAUGCUUUGGCCAAACAACACUAAGACUGAAUAACUGAACAGCGACUAUGAUUGAGACUGUAUCUGAGACUGUGGGAGGAGCUAUCAUCUAAUCGACAUUCCCCUAUCUAAGCUAAUCGGAGUCUACUCUAUAACCCCAGUUGGAUGGGUGUUAAUACCGUGCCACAGGUACUAACAUUGGUUGUGUGGAUCCACUAAACUGAUAUAAUGUCCAAAGGACUAAGGGUGUCAAGCCUGAACUGACGGGUGACCCCUGCGAGAUAGUCAAUCCUAAUCUGACAGGUAACUAAUCAUAUAAUAUGUUGGCUACGUAGUUCUGGAGUAUAGGGACUGCUACUAAUGACUCUCCCUAUCUGACGGGGAAGCUGCCAUCCCUACACUCGCUCGGUGCUAAAUACUACUCCCAACUGAAAGACACUGAGAUACUAGCUUGUUAUGAGUUUAAUGACUGAUAUCUGACUAUUCCGAUAAUGCUUACAAUAUAAUCUAAAGACUAUUCUGUAAUGUACUAAAAAUAGACUAAAUAAACAGUUAUAGUUUUUGGGUAUUCAAUACCUCCAGGACUCAAAACAACAAUAAUGAAAAGACGCUAAAGCUUAGGGGACAAAACAUGAAGGUUUUUAUUAAAUCAAUCACUCUUGUAGGCAUUUUAUCUAACACUUGUAGUUCAUGGUUCAAAACAAUCAUAGAAAUGUCCUAAAACAUAUAGAAAUAGCAUAAAUCUAACAUAAUAGAGUUAAAUAAGGGUUUUGUUCAAUAACUAAUAAUAUUAAAACAUGGAGGAUUGAAUAAUAACAAUAAUUUCAUGGUAACAUGGUAUAAAAUCAUAGUUCAUGGAGAUUCAUGGGUGAAAUCACAAUGUAAAACAUAAUAACAUGAAAAGAUAACAAUUUUAUAAUUUUAAAGGGUUGCUUGGACUCCAUGGAUGAAAAGGAUCCUUGGAUGAACAUCUAACAUACCUUAAUGGAUGAACUUCUUGAAGUUCUUUGUGAGUUUUUGAGGAUUGGCCUUGAAAUUGGAGAGCUAGGGUUCUUCAUUUGGGAGAAAAAGCUUCUUGAUUUGGGGGAAAAUAAUUAAAAUAAUGAGUUUAAAAAUAUUUUAGCCAUUUGGAUACCAUUUUGGCCACCUCCGCGACGCGCCAACAUCGCGGAGGCCCACUGGAAAUUGACAAACAAAAAAUUGGCCUUCUCCGCGAUGCGCCAUAAUCGCGGAGUCACACUGGAAAUUGACAAUUGUCAUUUGGGCUGCCUACGUGACGCGUUAAGGAUUAAAAUGAAGGUGUUUAACGGCUGAAACUUUAAAUCGUCAUAACUUCUUAUCCGAUUAUCGAAUUUAGGCGAAUUUUAUAUCUUGGAAAGCUAGUUCAAUUUCCUACGCAAUGGCAGGAUCUAAAUUGAAAAAUAAUGAGUGUUUCAAAAAAAAUUUAUAUGAAUACUCAUGUAUUGAGACUUAGAUUAUGCUAGGGAAAUACGAGGUGUAACAAUUCUAAUAAAAUUUGUUGCUCGUGUAAAUUAGCUAGGGUAAUAGCUGCAUCCAAAGUUUUGGGCUCAUGGGUCAAGAUUACUUUUUCAAUAUUGAUGUAUAGGCCUAAUGUGGAAAAAUAAAGUAUCCAGGCCUCUAGAGUAUUUUUUGUCUCAUUCACAAUCGCCUCAAAUUUAGAUUGGAAGUCUGAUACAGUGGAAACUUGUCGAAGCUUUGAGAGCACUGAUUUUCCAUGCAUCCACUGAUACCACUCAAGUAUCAGUGGGCACUUUAUAUUCUAACUUCAGAAGCGCCUUUAAAGAUUUUCCAUGCAUCCACUGAUACCACUCAAGUGCCUCGCCAUCGAGAUAAAAUAAAGCUAAAUAGAGAUGGUGUUCUGCAACAUACCAUAGAAAGAAAAGUAACAUUAUACCUAAAACAACCAUGCUUCUGGGUUGACACCCUGAAAUCGGCUAAGUUCCACAGAUGUUGGUUUGUUAUAAAGAGAAAUAGGACCACCAACGGAAAAACUCUGAGCCAUCGUCUUCUUCGACGAUGUAAAUCUAGUCGAUUCUGGAGCAUCUGUUGUUAUUCUAGCGCCUAUAUCUCAAAAACGUUCACCAAAACCCCCUGCAUCCGCUUGUUUUUACCAUCUAAAGAGAAACAUAUAUCUGAGAUGUCUUAUGUUAGGAUAUUCUGGCCAUCUUCCAACACUUUCAGUCGAGUAUCCACCAUAGUUCACAGAAUUAAAAGUACCAAAUAGAGCUAAGCAGAUUUUAACCACAAGAAAUAAGUUCAUUCCAAUAGAAUAGUAAUAAGAAAAUUACAAUUGAAAGGAAAAAUUGCAGCAAAAGGAAAAAUAGAUCUAGAAGAGGGAAUGAGAGGCUAGACAAUGGGAAUGGGGAUGAGAGAAUAAUAGACGAUACAUCAACAUCAGACUAGUAUCUCACAUCCUACUUUUUUGCUCCUAUAACUACUUGAUUCCCUUAUCCUUUUCUUACUUUUUCCUAACUCUAAUACAAUCUUUCUUUUACCAUAAUUCAAAUCAUAGUCAUCUAACCUAACAUUUGGCAUUUUACUCCCCUGUCUUCUUCGGGAAAUGUCCCUCAUAAAAUAUGUGUCCACCUCUGCAAGGACCCUGUCGUUCACCAUAUUAACCCUCCCCCUCAAAUAAAUUCAUUGUCCUCAAGGUUUGGGUUACUAGGUGUAGUUGUAUCUAAUAAUAACCGUGGAGUGGCUUGAUGGAUGGUUUUGCCCACACAAUGUUUCAACAUAGAGAUGUAGAACACCGGAUGAAUGCACGCCGCAUAUGAAAGUUGAAGUUCAUAGGCCACAUUGCUAAUACGUUUAAUCACCUUAAAAGGGCCAAAGUAUUUCCUUCCCAAUUUAUGAUCUUUUUGUAAACAAACUGAUUUUGGCAAAUUGGUUUUAGUUUUUUAUACACCUUAUUACUAAGCUCAAAAUGGUCAUCAGUUCAUGCCUUAUUGGCCAACCUUUUCAUUCUCUAUUGAGACCUUGCCAUAUAUGCUUCAAAAUCUCUAGUAUUUCAUCCCUUCGCAGCAUGUAACAUUCAACAAUGUCAUCAUCUGAACUCCCCAGGAUAUAACAAAUCAUGAUAGGGGGUUCUUGUCCAUACAAUGCCUAAAAUGAAGUCAUACCUGCCAAUGACCAAAGGGUCGUAUUGUACCAAAACUCUACCCAUGAAAGCAUGGCUACCCAUUUAUCUGGUGAAUCUGCAACAAAGCACCAGCUAUACAACUCAUGAAUUUGUUGACGGCCUUUGAUUAGUUGUUUAUUUGUGGAAUAUACGUCGUACUCAUUGCUAAAGUUGGGUCUUGCAGUCUGUUAAGUUCCUUCAAGAAGAAUUUUAAAGAUAUGGGGUAACGAUCUGUGACAAUGGACUUCGGUCACAUAACUUGACUAUAUAGCUGAUGAAUGCCUCAGCUACUGAGUAAGCAGAAAAGGAAAAAGGCAUGGUAAUAAAGUCUCCAUACUUGGAUAGACUAUCGACCCUGAUUAUGAUGGUAGAUUUCCUUUUAGAUGUUGGAAGUCACAUGAUGAAAUCCAUUUCCAUUUCUCCUAAAACCAUUUCUGGAACUAGAAGUGGUUGAAGAAGACUGGCAGGACACCAAAAUAUGUCCUCCAAUUGUUGACACAUAUGGCAUGAUGCCACAAACACAUGAAUAUCAUGACGCAUAUGCUGGAAAUAAAAAUUGGAUACAAUGUGAUGAAAGGUUCUAGCAACUCCAGCAUCACCGCCUAUGGGAGAUUCAUGAAAUCCAUGCAUCAAGGUGUUUUUGAGAGAACUAUCAAAUGGAAAAACAAGAUGACCCUUAUAAAUAAUAAUCCUUCCUAAAAAGUAACUCAGGAUACAAAGUGGGGCUUUCGUCCAUACUUCGUUGAAUAGCUAACUGUUAAUAGAACUUUAUUGAAGGGAAGAAAGGCUAAGGUUUACAAUAUAAUCUGAAAAGCAUAAAACUGUCUAAAGCAAGAGUAGGCUAUAUAUACAUAGCCAAUAACCUAAAGGUCCAUAAACUAAAGGCCCAAUAACAUAUGGGCUAACAUCCCCCCUCAAACUCACAAUGCAACAGCAAUAAGCAUUGAGAGUUUGUCACACAAAAAACGAAAUCGAGAUGCCGACUGAGCCUUCGUAAAAAGGUCAGCAAUCUGCAAAGACGAUGGAACAAAAGGAAGCGAUAUGGUCCCGAGCUGUAAAUGAUGACGGGUGAAGUGACAAUCAAUCUCAAUGUGCUUCGUACGCUCAUGGAAGACAGAAUUCUUUGCAAUUUGUACCGCACUUUUGUUAUCACAAUGCAGGGGAGUAGGCAUAGAAAUGUGAACCCCCAUAUCUGCAAGAAGCCAACGUAACCAAAUAAUCUCACAUGUAGUCACAGCCAUAGCACGAUACUCAGCCUCCGUGGAAGAUCUAGAGACAACAUCUUGUUUCUUGCUCUUCCACGAGAUUAAAGAGUCUCCAAGAAACACACAAAAACCAGUGGUGGAUUUACGAUCAUUGCGAUCUCCAUCCCAAUCAGCAUCACUAUAGGCUCGCAACUCGAGAGAUGACGUCGAGGGAAACAAGAGAUUCUGAAACUGAGUGCCACGAAGAUACCUUAGAAUACGAAGUACAGCUCCCCAGUGCACAGAAGUAGGAGCAGUAACAAACUGGCUAACAACAUGAACUGCAUGUGCUAUAUCUGGACGAGUAACCGUAAGAUAAACCAAACUACCCACAAUAGUCCGAUAAAGACUCGGAUCUGAUAAUGGAACACCAUCACUAGGAGAGUAACGUGCAUUGGUUUCAAGGGGAGUAUCUACAGUCCUGUUGUCAGAAAGACGCGCCCGUGUAAACAAGUCAGAUAUAUACUUAGUCUGAGAAAGAAGAUACCCUUUCUUAGACUGAGCCACCUCAAUACCCAGAAAAUAACGCAGCAAGCCCAAGUCCUUCAUUGCAAAUCGAUGAGCCAAAUCAUGCUUCAAUAACUCAAUACCACUAUGAUCAUCACCAGUAAUAAUCAUAUCAUCUACAUAUAAGGACAAUAGAAUUCGCCCUGCACUUGUACAUCUAACAAACAAUGCUGAAUCAUGGUUACUCGGGACAAAUCCAAGGGAAGUAAUAACAGUGGAGAAUUUCUCAAACCAAGCACGAGGGGCUUGUUUGAGACCAUAUAAAGCUUUUCGAAGCCGACAAACUUCACCUGGCUGGUGGUCAAUACCUGGGGGAGGAGUCAUAUAAACUUCCGCGUGGAGAUCACCAUUCAGAAAAGCAUUCUUGACAUCCAUCUGAAAUAUCUUCCACUGUCGAACGGAUGCAACAGCAAUCAUAGUGCGAACAGUCGUCAUCUUUGCUACGGGGGAAAAAGUCUCCUCAUAAUCCAUACCAUAUUGUUGUGAAUACCCUUUUGCCACAAGUCUUGCCUUGUAUCGCUCAACAGACCCAUCAGAUUUUGUUUUUAUCUUAUACACCCAUCGACAACCAAUCGCAUGCUUACCAGGUGGGAGAGUAACCAAAUCCCAUGUAUGUGUAUGAUGAAGAGCAGCAAGUUCCUCAGCCAUAGCAUUCUGCCAAAGAGGAUCAGACACAGCCUCUCUAUACGACUCAGGUUCAGACAAAUGAUGUAUGUUUGCAAUAAAGGAAGCAAAUGAGGCUGAAUAUGUAGAAUAGUAAAAAUCUGGCAGUUUGGUGGACUUACAAGGUCGAGUAGACCUCCUCAGAGGUGGUGGGUCUCCAGUCUCAACAGUCGAAGGAGCAGACUCAGGCACAGGCGAGGCUGAAGCACUAUCAGGUGGCACACCAGAUGGCAUGGAUGAAUCCGGAACUGGAACCUCUAUGUCAAUCCCAAAGGGAUCAAUAAGCCGAAUAUCUGACUUUGUCACAUCAUGGGUUUUAGCUGGAAUGGAAUAAAAAGGAAUAUGUUCCAAAAAAGUGACAUGUCGUGAAACAUAUAAUUUCUGACUUACAGGAUCAUAGCAACGAUAUCCUUUUUGUCCAAUACCAUACCCCAAAAACACACAUAUAGCUGAUUUUGACCCUAACUUAUUUCGUUCAACAUGAGGACGAAGAACAAAGCAAGUACAUCCAAAAACUCGUAAUGCAGAAUAAUUCGGCGGGUGACCAUAUAGUUUCUCAAACGGAGACAUCCCUGAAGUCAAUGCAGUAGGAAUACGAUUAAUCACAUAUACAGCAGUUAGAACUGCUUCUCCCCAAAAAAUACUAGGAACCUCUGCAGACAAAAGUAAAGAGCGUGCUGUCUCAACAAUAUGACGAUGUUUUCUUUCUGCCAGACCGUUCUGCUCAGGAGUGUCGGUACAAGAUGACUGGUGUAUGGUACCAUCAGAGGCAAGUAACUGAGUGAAGUCAUUAGAGGUAUAUUCACCCCCUAAGUCACACCUGAAACACUUUAUCACAGCCGAAUGUUGUGUUUUAACAAGGGCUCUAAAGUUGUUGUAAAUGCCAAAGAAAUCAGAUCUGCGUUUCAUAAGAUACACCCAGGUAUAACGAGUAUAGUCAUCUAUAAACGAAACAUAAUAGGUCGAUCCACCCUUAGUGGAUACUGGCGCUGGUCCCCAUACAUCAGAAUGAAUAAUAUCAAAAGGAGCAACAGAAUAAGACACACUUUUAUUAAACGGUAAGGCAGAAAAUUUUGCCAGUUUACAACCACUACAAUCUGAAAUAUCACUAGUGUUCACAUGACCCAAAGCACCACUAGAGACCAAAAAACGUAAACGUGAAACUGACACAUGUCCUAAUCUGGAAUGCCAAAGAUAAAACUGAGAAGACAAAGGACUCAAACGAAAAGAAGAUAAAUCUAUGCUAGAGGCAGCAACUACAGACACUUUGAGAUUCUCCAAGACAUAGAGUUCCCCCAACCUACGGCCGGUCCCAAUCACCCUCUGAGUGUGUUGGUCCUGUAUAACACAAACAGAAUCAGAAAAAAACACCCAAUUACCAGCCUUACACAACUGACUGACCGAAACAAGAUUUAAAGCAAGUUUGGGAAUGUAAUAAACAUCAGAGAGGACAAUGUGAGGGGUAGUAACAGAACCAACACCCUCGACUGACAUAGGUACAGCACUCGCGGACAUAACAGAGAUUGGUGAAAUGGGUGACAAAGAACCAAACGAUGACAAAUGAGGGGACAUGUGAUGAGACGCACCAGAAUCCAAUAUCCACAAGGAGGAAGGAAUACCUGAGGUACUAGAAGAAACUGAACCCGAAUGAGACAUAGAUGCUGACAUGGCCGUAGGAUUAGAAACGAAGAACUGUCUGAACUGUUCGAAAACCUGGGGAUCCAACGCAGAAGGUGGCAUAGUGCUAACAGACUCAACAUCUACAGAUGGUGCAGCAGCAGCGAACUGUGGAGGACGAGAUGACCACGGAGGAGCACCAGAUGGGCGUGACGGAUACUUUUGCUGCCCAUAUUUCUGUUGCUGCCCAGAUUGAGGCUGUUUGACCUUGUUAAGUAACAACGGACACUGAGCCUUCCAAUGAUUUUUCUGUUUGCAGAAUGCACACUCAUCAAAUGCAACUUUAGGAGAUUGUCGAGUCUGAGUACGUGGUGGCCUAGACUGAUCAGUUGAAGCAGCAAACACGACAGGAGUAGUAGUUACUUUAGACCCUUUAUCCACUUGAGACUUGAUACGAGUCUCCUCUGCAAUCAGUUCAUGAACCACAGAAUCAACAGUAGGGAGGGGAGAUCGAUGAAGGAUUGUUCCACGUAGGCCCUCAAAGUCAGAACGUAGUGCCAUCAAAAACUGAACCAAGCGUUGCUCUUCCCGUCUAGCAAUGUACGGCCCAAAACCUUUUAACUCUGCAGAUUCAGUAAGUGCCAAUUGAUCCCACAAAUCCGACAUGGCAGCAUAAAAAUCUUGAAUACUGAGAUCAUGCUGUUGAAGAGCACGGAUAUCAUACUCCAACUGGUACUGCUUAGCAAAAUUAGACUGAGUGUACAGUCUUUCCAAAUGAUCCCAGACCUCCUUUGCUGUGUCAUACUUAGCCAAUUGCAUACCAAUUGACUGAGUUACAGAAUUGUUGAUCCAAGUGAUAAUCUUGGAGUUAUUAGUUUCCCAUAAGUCCACCAACAAAUCAAAAUUUUCAGUUUUAUCAUCGAUAGGUCUUGGUUUUACUCCAGUGAUAUAACCCCACAUAUUCUUCCCACGAAGAAAAUUCUUCAUGACAUAACUCCAAUAUGCAUAGUUCUUACCAUCUAAUUGAGUACUAAUGGACUGGAGAGAAUCAUCCUUUCCAGUCAUUGUAAACACAGCAACACACAAACAAUUCAAAAAACAAAAAGAUGCAAAACCCUAGGUUGAACAAUUCCGAACGAACAACAAUGGCAGCAAGCAAAAGAACGAAAGACGAACAAUACCAGACAGCAAACGAAGACAGCAACGAAUCAAUCCAACCAAAAAACCCAACGAAAAGAGCAAACGAAUACAGCAGCACCUCAAAAAAAUUCGGGGCUCCGCCCCGAACCCCGGACGGGGGCGCGCUGCCCCCCGUACCCCCCAGCGAACUCACCGCGGAGUUCGAUCCGCGCAGUAGGUGCCUGCUACAAAAUCUUCAACCAACAAAUCAAAGGACAUGGAUCGAACUAGCUUUGAUACCAUGUUAAUAGAACUUUAUUGAAUGGAAGAAAGGCUAAGGUUUACAAUAUAAUCUGAAAAGCAUAAAACUGUCUAAAGCAAGAGUAGGCUAUAUAUACAUAGCCAAUAACCUAAAGGUCCAUAAACUAAAGGCCCAAUAACAUACGGGCUAACACUAACAACUCAGGAUGUUGUUGAUUAGCUAUUCUUAUGUCAUAUACCCAGUCAAAUAUUCUAGUAGAGUAUGCUUAUAGAGAUCCUUCAGGUGCGCAGGAAAGAGCAUCUACUGCUUCAUUAAACUUUUUGGGCUUGUAGAAAUUUUAAAAGUCAUAUCCAACUAAUUUCGUCAACAUCUUUUGUUGUUUCGGGGUCUAUAUGCCUUGGUUUGUUAAAUAAAACAAGGAUUAUUGAUUAGUAAAAAUUAUGAAUCUUUGACCCAAUAAGUAUUGUCUCCCCUUGGCCGCUGCUUACGUGAUAGCAUAUAUUUCCCUGUGAUAUGUAGAUGUUUGCUGCAUUCUAAGACAUAGUUUCUGGUUUUAGAAAGUAAUGGGAUGCCCUCCUUUAUAUAACACCACACCAAUAACCACCCACUAAGAAUCUAUCACAAUAUGGAAUUUUUUAGUAAAGCUGGGUAAUACAAGAACUUGGGUAGAACUUAAGUGGUGCUUCAAUUCCUCAAAGGCUUGUUGAGCUAGUGAAACCCAAAAAAACCCAUCUUUGUUCAAACGAUCAGUUAGCGGGCUUGCUAUAGUGGAAUAACACCAAAUGAAGCGAUGAUAAUAACUGGUGAGACCCUUGAAACUUUGAAGCCUCCUCUGAAUUGGGUAUAGGCCAUGACUGAAUUGCAUCUAUUUUGGAUAGAUCGACAGCUAGCCUAAUGUUUGACAACACAUGGCCUAAAUAUUCAAUCUGGGAUUGUCCAAAUGAGUAUUUGGACAUCUUGGCCACUAGUUGGCUUUCUCUAAAUUGCAAGACUAGUUCAAGUUGUUGAAAGUGAAUUUCCCUUGUUAGAAUAUAAACCAAUAUGUCACCAAAAAAAGCACCAAUACAAAGCGAUGGAGAUGCAUUAUGAAAGGUUGAUAGUGCACUAGAAAAGCAAGAAGCAUUACCAUAAAUUUUUAAUGGCCAUCAUGUGUUUGAAAGGCUAUUUUGGAAACAUCAGUGGCUUUAACCCGUAACAGAUGGAAUCCAAAGAGCAAAUCUUCUAACUUUGAAAAACAACAAGCACCGUGUAGCUCAUCAAUUUUUGGUAUGGGGAAUUGAUCACAUAUCAUUAUUGCAUUCAAUGCAUGAUAAUUAAUGUAAAACCUCCAAGUCUUAUCCUUCUUGUGUACCAACAAUAGAGAGGAAGAAAAUAGACCAGUUUUAGGAAGAAUAGUCCCUUCCUUUAGCAUAUCAAAAAUGAGUUGCUCCAUGAUUUGUUUCUAAAAGUAAAGAUAACAGUAUGGCUCACAAGCCCUAAAUUCUCCUGAAGGGGAAUAGCAUGGUCCUGCGAUAGAACUGGUGCUUCCUUGAGGCUUCUGAAAAAUAUCUUCAAAGAUGGUUAAGACAGAUUAAAGAUCUGAAGGACGAUCAAGAUUGAUAGUGCUUCAAUAUUGCACCAUCAUGAAGCAAUAAUAAGAGGUUAUAGCAUCCAUCGCAGAGUAACAAUGUAAUGUUUGAAGUUGCACAGGUUGUGCGUCCAGUGGAGGUUCACCAACCCAUCGGAUCGCUCAGUCGGCCAAAGUGAAUUCAAAUAUGUGUGCUCCAUAAUCACUCAUUAUUGGUCCUAGAGUGGCCACCCAAGAAAUUCCCAACACAAUAUCGGCACCAUGCAUUGGUAAGACAUAAAAGUCCAAAGUGAGCUCAGCACCCUAUCCUGUUAAGGAAACCCCUUAAGCAAUUCCCUCACUACAGAGACAAUGAACACUUUCGGCCAUUACAUAAAUGUCAGAAGUAUGUGUAAUCUUGAGAUUGAGAAAUCUUACAAACGAGAUUGCACCUAAUAAUGUAUGUUUCAACUAUCAAAAGGAACCAAAUUGGUUAUUCUCAAACGUUCCCUAAAAAUCACAGAGUUGUUUUAGAGUGACCUCCAGCCAAAGCGUGGUAGGAGAUGGUAGCAAAUGUCUUUAGAUCAAGGUUGUGGAUCUUAUUAGUGACAAAAUCCUUAGGUGAGAAAUUCAUCAAAAACUAAAAGAAAGAGUCAGUCUCAUCCUCCAAAAGUAGAAGUUGUGGAUGAAAUCUGCAUUUAUGGCCUUGGAUGUAUUUUUCAUCACAAUGAUAACACAAACCUUUCUCUCAUGUUGUAGCUUAGUGCUCGUGAUUCACUUAAAGGAAAGUUGUCCGGUGGUAUUCUAACCGAAGUUGUUGUACUGAUUAAUAGGUGUAGGUAACAAGGGUUGGGUCAUUUCAAAAGCAAGUUUGGGCCUCUAUUUCAAAAAACUUCCUAUCGAUCUCAUUGGGAACUAAUCCAACCAUCUCCAAACUCAAAAAAUACUAUGCAGAAACUAUAGGAAAGAGCAAAAUGAUCAAAACACAAAAAAAUAAAAAAUUCACAAUUCAGGUCAUUACAAAACUACAACUAAAAGGAAAAAGAAUACAACAAAAGGAAAGAUAGAUCUAGAGGAGGGAAUAAAAGGCUAGACAAUAGGAAUGGGGAUGACAGAAUAAUAGAUAAUACAUCAACAUCACACUUCUAUCUCAUAUCCGACUAUUUUGCUCUUAUAACUACUUGAUUCUCCUAUCAUUUUCUUAUUUUUUCCUAAAUCUAAUACAACUCAUUUUUACCAUAGUACAAAUCAUAGUCCGCCAACCUAACCUUUGAUAUUUUAUUCCUCUGGCCUCUUCCUAAAAUGUCCCUCAUAACUUGUGUGUCUACCUUAGUAGGGACUUAUUAUUCACAACAUUACUACCCCCUCUCUCGAAGAAAGUACCUUGCCCUCAAGGUUUGGGUCACUUGAUAUAGUUGUCACGACACGAUUUAUGAGUCAUGGCGGCAUCUGCUUUAUCUCACCAGUAGGUAAGACGAACCAUAGCCGAAGCGAUUUAUGAGUCAUGGUGGCAUUUGCUUUAUCCCACCAGUAGGUAAGACGAACCAUAGCCGAAGCUACCCACAAUGUGCUAUCUUGGUGGACAGCGACCUAAAUUGGCUGGAAAUCAACAUUUAAAGAGUCAAAAUAGCAAACAAGUAGUUAUAACAGUUUAAUAGAUAUAUAAAAGAGUAACAACUAUCCCAAGACUAAAUAAUGCUGGUACAGGUGCUACUACAUACAAACCAUAGGUACAGAAUAUUCAAAUACAAUCAUUCUCAAAAAUGAAAGACUAGACCCAGAUACAUCAAAAGGAAAAAGGGUAACUCUGACUUUAAGAGCUCACCCAAAUCUCCAAAAACUAACUCAACAUGACCAUAAAAUUCUCUGUGACAACUAGUUCAUGAAUCUGCACCAAAAAGGUACAGAAAUGUAGUAUGAUCACCAAAACCAUGGGUACUUAGCAGUCAUCAUCGGGCGACUGAGCUAAAUCAUGAUAUAAAAAUGAUAAGAUACAAGAUAAAGUAAACUAAGUCAAGGUAAUAAGGAAAACAUGGAAAUAAGCUCUAAAACUGCUACACAUAAAUAAAUAGAUACAUAUGAAAUAGUAAUGCAAAGAUCACACAGCUAUAACUACAAGACUGAGCCCCAUAAGACAAUUGUAGAAAAGUAAAUAACCCAAUGCAGGCCUCCAUAAGCUUGAAGGGUACAAUCAAGGAAAGUAAAUAACCCAAUGACAGUAAAUUACUAAUUACCAUGCCAUAACCAAGAAUCCAUCCGAACCAUAUCAUAUCAUAAAUAACUCCCAAAAAUAUCGGACUUGAACUAAAACUUAAUAGUGUCAUCAUCAUUUCCAUCAUUUGUCGGACUUGAACUAAAACUCAUAUUACUAAUAGCACAUCAAAUGUUGGACUCAAACCGAAUCUCAUAUAUGUAUCAUUAUCAUCAUCAAUUGUAUGACUCAAAUCGAAACUUAUAUAUCAUUAGACCAUGUAAAUAAACCAUAACCAUAAGCCAUAUCACUAGAACACAACAAUUAUCCACUAGAACUUACCCAGAAUUAGCACCAACUCUCAACUACCAAACCAACAUAAUCAAUAAGCAUCUAAUAUUUACAAAGUCCCCAAAUAGCAAUAAUAAGGUUAAAUCAUGUGUAAUUACGUCUAUAAAGGCUAACACAAGUCUUGCCUAAGAUGGGUCGGGGGGGUCCACUUCUAAUAUUUGAAAUCCAUAAAGGCAAAUUCUACCCCAGAUUAGGCUAAGGUAUCUAAAUUUAUUUCUAAAUGUUUAAAUAAUCCCUAAGACAGAAAUUUAUCCUAAAACAUAAGUGAAUUAGUCAACUUUUCCUAAAUUACGAUUUCAAGAUAGCCUAAAUAGUCCAACUAACCCAAAUAAUUUUAAUCAUGCCUCCAAUACCUAAAUCUCACCCCAUAUCAAGCAUAAAUGAUACUUAUACUAUGAAAAAGCUCAAUAUAUGGAGAGGGUAAACCUAUCCUACCUAGACACUAAAGAAAAUCUUGAAGAAUCUACUAAACCACCGAUCUUCCUUUCUAAGAAGCUUUCGCAAAGUGCCACACUAUCAAAAUCACAAUCUACUCAUCAAAACGAGAAGAAUGAUAUCUUUAUUGCACUAUUGUGCUUCAAGUCCAAAAUCACGUAAAACACUCAUGUGGGGCACUUUCAAAACCAACACAAUGUCCCUCUAUGCUCAAGGAACUCUUACCAUAAAAAAUGGGUAAAUUUCGAGUUAUAAUGAUGCUAAAACCAAGCAACCAAACUUUUAGGGAUUUUAGAUAAGAUUAGAGAAUUAAAUCAUGAAAUUAAGGGGAACCUGCAAAAAAUUCAAUGAAGAAAUACGUAAAUUGACGUUAUCCAAUCUCCAAAACCACCCACAAAUGAUCCUCCCAAGUUUUCACAUUAAUUAAGGUUUUACACUUUUGAGAAUGGGUAAAAAGUAGGAAAAAAUUGGGAAAAAGGGGAAUUUAGAAGCACCAGGUGCUGCUAAAUCGAGCCCUGGGCUGCUUAAUCGGUCACCGCUAAUGCGCCUAGAUGCCUCUAAAGAAUUACCAGUCCCCAUGAUCCAGGUUGCUAAAUUGGACCAUGGGCCACUUUAGCGCUAACCGCUAAAGUGCCCAGGGGACACUAAAUCAGUGCCUGUUGGCUAUGCUAAGGCCGCUAAAGCACCCUCUACUAAAUCUCCCAAAGGGCCACUUUAGCGGUCACACCAAAUAUCAUGCACCAGCUAGAGACUUGGAAUAUUUUUUUAGUCUCUUUCAACACCUUGGGAUUCAUUUGGAAUCCUAUAUACGCUAACAAACUAUGCUACCUUAUCAAAUUCGACGUUCUGGACUCACUGGCACAGUUGAAAUUUUUAUCCAAGGUCAUUUCAGGGAAAAAUGGGUUGUACACCCACUUGCCAUUUUUCUUAACCUCCUACCAAUAGCUCAAAAUGAGUCCGGGAGUCUCAAUACCCAAACCAAGGGUCCACCUAACCUAAAAUCAAUGUCCUGGAGAUAUUAGAACAGUCAAAAUUAGCAUAUGAGGUCGUUUGACUAAAGUUUCUGCCUGGCAGCUAAUUUGAACUAGCGAAGGAUUCCAAAUAAGAAAUUAUCUCUAAAAAUCAAAUGAACUGCCCGGUAAUCGAACUUUCAGUUCCAGCAAGUCAUAAAUAACUUGGGGAAGCUAUAGGAAUGCUCUAAGUGGCAAAAAUGGGACAUUGCAAUAUCAACUACUAAAAGAACUUUCAUCCAUAAAAGUAAAGGAUUAGGAUGUACCUGAAACCUCGAACAAGUGAGGAUACUGGGUUUGCAUCUUGCUUUCGAUCUCCCAGUAGCCUCCUCUACUGGACGGUGCCUCCACUAAAACUUAACUACUAGAAUCUCUCUAGUGUGAAACCGCCUGACAUCUUUUGCCAAAAUAAGCUCCGGCUCCUCCGCGAAGGUUAACCACUCAUCCAACUAAACUGAGUCCCAUCUAAGCACAUGAGAAGGGUCAGGAAUGUAUCACCAUAACAUAGAAAUAUGGAAAACUAGAUAGAAAGCAGCAAAAUCUGGGGCUAAGGCUAACUCAUAAGCCACCUCACCAACAGUGCAAAGGAUCUCAAAAGGUCCAAUAUAUCUGGGGCUGAGCUUGACUUUCCUCCCGAACCUUAUCACACCCUUCAUGGGUGAUACGUGAAGGAAUACCCGAUUACUAACUCUAAAUCUCAAGGCACAAAGUCUACAAUCUGCAUAAGGCUUCUGACUACUCUGAGUUGCCCUCAACCUGUCUUUAAUCAUCUUGAUUCAAUCCAACGACUCCUGAAGCAUGUUGAUACCAUGGGGUCUAAUCUCGGAAGUCUUGAAACAUCUAAUAAGAGAACGACACUACCUACUAUAUAAAGCCUCAAAAUUCUCUAUCUCAAUACUCGAAUGGUGGCCAUUAUUAUACGCAAACUCUACCAAGGCCAAGUGAUGCUCCCAUUAACCUCCAAAAUCUAUCACACAGGAUUGGAGCAUAUCUUCAAGAACCUAAAUAGUCUACUCCAACUGCCCAUUAGUCUGAGGAUGGAAGGUUGUACAAAGAUUCACCUGAUUACCCAACUCCUCCUGAAAAGCUCUCCAAAAGCUAGAAGUGAACACUGAACCUCGGUCUGAAAUGAUAGAUAUAGGUAUACCGUGCAAAUGGACUAUCUCACUAACAUUAAUACGAGUCAACCUCUCGAUAUAAAAGGAAUCUCAAUAGGAAUGAAGUAUGCCGACUUAGUCAACUAAUCUAUAAUUACCCAAAUAUCAUUAGAGCCACGAGAAGUACAAGGUAACCCACUAAUAAAGUCCAUGGUAAUCCGCUCCUAUUUCCAAUUGGGAAUGGGUAAUACCUUAAUUAAGCCACUAAGUCUCUGAUGCUCGGCCUUCACUUGCUGACAACAUACGCAACGAGCUACAAAAUUUGCCAUAUUUUUCUUCAUACCAGUCCUUCAAUAAUGUUGUCUCAAAUCUCAACACAUCUUGGUUGUACCCGGGUGAAUAGAAUAUUUGGAGUUGUGAGCCUCGUGAAAAAAUUGACUAUAUCAAGUCAUCAACCCUCGGAACGCAAAUGCAUCUAUCAAAUCUCAAGACACACUCAGAAUCUAUGGUAGACCUCCUACACUCACAACUCAAUACCCGAUCACGGAUGAUACAAAGCCUCUUGUCCUUAAAUUGACUACUCUAAAUCUGCUCAAAUAUUGAAGAACUUUUCUCAACACUAGUAAGAAUCCUAAUAGGGUCUAAAAUAUUAGCCAUCAAGUUUGCUAAGGAUUGAAUGUCCUGUGCCAAUAACCUUUGAGAAACUGAAAUAAAAGCUAAGCUACCUAUACUCACUACCUUACGACUCAAAGCGUCUUCUACCACGUUCGCCUUUCUCGAAUGAUAAAAGAUAGAUAUGUCAUAAUCCUUAAGCAACUUUAUCCAUGUACACUUCCUAGAAUUAAGAUAUCUCUAGGUCAAAAGAUGUUGAAGACUAUGAUAAUUCGUAAACAUCUCACAAUGCACGCCAUAAAGAUAAUGUCUCCAAAUCUUAAGCGCGAAGACUACCACCGCCAACUCUAAAUCAUGAGUAGGGUUUUUACGAUCGUGCACCUUUAGCUUCCUCAACACGUAGAUAACAACACGACCCUAUUGCAUAAACACACAACCAACCAAUAUCAGAAGCAUCAUAAUACAUGGUGAAUCUCUCACCCUGAAUAGGAAGAUCCAAAAUAGAAGUUGAAGUGAGAAAUCCCUUGAGCUUUCUAAAGAUUGACUCACACUCCUCAAGCCAUCUAGAAAGAACCUUCUUUUAGGUUAAUCUAGACAUCGGCACUGGAAUGGUGGAAAAACUCUCCAUGAACUGCCUAUAGUAACCAGCCAAACCAAUGAAGCUACAAACCUCAGUGGGAGGUGUAGGUUUGGCCUAAUCAUGAAUGGCCUUAAUCUUUGUCGGGUUUACCACAAUCCCAUCCUUAGACACCACAUGCCCAAGGAAUGUCAUCAACUCAAGCCAAAAUUCACAUUUAGAGAAUUUGGCUAAAAGCAUAUGAUCUGUCAAAGUCUCGAGCACAAUCCUUAAAUAUUGCAGAUGUUCUUCCCUACUCCUCAAAUAUAUAAGGAUAUCGUCGAUGAAAACAAUCAUAAAAGAAUUUAAAUAAAGUCUAAACACACAGUUCAUCAAAUCCAUAAAUGUUGUUGGGGCGUUAGUCAACCCAAAAGACAUCAUUAGAAACUCAUAAUGACCAUAACGGGUCCUAAAGGUUGUCUUUGGGAUAUGCUCAGCCUGAAUCCUCAACCUAUGGUAUCCGAACCUCAAUCAACCUUAGAGAACAUUGCUUCCCUCUGAAGCUAGUCAAAUAAAUCAUCAAUGAGAGGCAUAUGCAUUGUCACCUUAUUAAGAUGCCUAUAAUCAAUUUAUUAUACAUGGAACCAUCUUUAUUCUUCAGAAACAAUAAAGGAACUCCUUAGGGAGACACACUCAGUCUAAUAAAAACACUACUAAGAAGAACCUGAAGAUGUGGAUUUAGAUCCAUAAGCUUGGUAGGUUCCAUAGAAAUAGGUCGAGUGACUGGAUCAAGAUCAAUAACAAACUCAAUAUCAUACUUAGGAGGAAGACUAGGUAGAUCGGUAUAGAAAACAUCUAGAAACUCAUAAACUAUAGGAAUAGAGUCAAGCGAUAGACUCUCUACACUAACAUCACAGAUAUAAGUGAUAUAAGACUCGCAACCCCUCAAAAUAAGUCUCCUCACACAAAUAUGAGAAAUAAUCCCUAUCAAGCUAACUGUACCCUGGCACAUGCCGGUGGUACACCAAACAUGAAGAAGGUAAUGGCCUUGGCAAAAUAAUCCAGAACUGCAUGAUAGUGGGAUAACCAAUCCAUGCCUAGAAUUAUAAUAAAAUCCACCAAUCCACCAUGUCAAAUAUAAUAAGAUCAACAUGAGUAUCAAGCUCUCGAGCAGUCACAACACAUGAUCUGUAAACCUGAUCCACUACCAAUGAAUCACCCACAGGAACAGAUACACAUAAUGACACGAAUAAUGAAUCCCAAAAUAACUCUAACUAUAGGGCAUAAUAAGUAGACACGUAAGAAUAAGUGGAUCUUGGAUCAAAUAAAGAAAAAGCCGACUAACAGAACACUAAGAUCAUACCUAUAAUAACAAUAUCCAAAGACUCAGCCUCGGGUCUAGCAAGUACUGUAUAUAACUGAUUACCUCUGGAUGGGCUCCUGAUUGAUCUCUUGUCCUACCUCUUGAGAAACUGUAUGAGCACCCUAGGGACUACCCUUAUGACCAUGCAUACCACCUCUAGCUGGGGGCAAAAUAGCCUCAAUUAAUGGAACACUCUAAAUUAUAGGAACACUACUCCACAAUUGGGUCACUCUCACGAUAAAUGACCAAAAACUCUACAACCAUAACAAGCCCCAGGUGCAGUACUAAAACUAGAAGAUUCAACUGACCUGGAAUAACUAUGAUGACUAGAAUAACUAGAAAAUGAACCCUUCAAAAACUGACCACUACCCUAGCCAGGACGAUCAGUGAAUCUAGACUGGCCUCCACCGAUAAUGUGAAGAGCUUCCUGAACAAGCCUACUAGACUGACACUGAUGCUGGUAAGGCUGAUACAGAGGGUACCUACCCUAAGGAACACUACCGCUAAACUAUGAUCUACUACGGCACCCAUUGAAACUAUCCUAAUAUUGCGGCCUCUUAUCGCUACCCCCUUGGGCUUCGCAAUGUAUCUCCUUCUUAAUCGAAAUAUGAUUAGAAAACCUAAUAAAAGACCUACUCAUAGAAACCAAACUCUAUGUAGAUAUAUAAAGAGGAAGUCUUAUUCCCCAAAUGAAGCAGCGAACUCUGUCAUACUCAGUAGUUAGAAUAGUAGUAGCAUGCCUAGAUAACUCAUGAAAUUGAGCCUUAUACUCCACAACAGUUAUGAAUCCCUGCUCCAACAUUAAGAACUGACCCCUAAAAUAAUCCCUGAGACUGCGAGGCAUAUGCUUCUCCAAGAAGAAAUUAGAGAACUAAGUCCAUGUUAAUGGGGAAGAUCUAGCUGGCCUGGAAUCAAGAUGAACCCUCCACUAAUGUUGAGCUUCCGAGUCCAACUGAAAAGUAGUGUAAUCCACACCACGAGUCUCAACUAGGCCUAAAUGAUGGAUUCUAUCCUCACAAGCAAUCAAAAUUUAUUACGCAUCCUCGCACGGUGUGUCAAAAAACUUAGGCAGAGCUAAUCUUAAGAACCUACCCAAAAUCUUCUGUUCCUUACCAAACAUAGAAAGAUGGGAAACCACCGUUUGAGCAACUAUUAGCUGGGCAAAUACGAAUGCAGAAGGGACUCUAGGACCUACGGCACCCAUUGAAACUAUCCUAAUAUUGCGGCCUCUUAUCGCUACCCCCUUGGGCUUCGCAAUGUAUCUCCUUCUUAAUCGAAAUAUGAUUAGAAAACCUAAUAAAAGACCUACUCAUAGAAACCAAACUCUAUGUAGAUAUAUAAAGAGGAAGUCUUAUUCCCCAAAUGAAGCAGCGAACUCUGUCAUACUCAGUAGUUAGAAUAGUAGUAGCAUGCCUAGAUAACUCAUGAAAUUGAGCCUUAUACUCCACAACAGUUAUGAAUCCCUGCUCCAACAUUAAGAACUGACCCCUAAAAUAAUCCCUGAGACUGCGAGGCAUAUGCUUCUCCAAGAAGAAAUUAGAGAACUAAGUCCAUGUUAAUGGGGAAGAUCUAGCUGGCCUGGAAUCAAGAUGAACCCUCCACUAAUGUUGAGCUUCCGAGUCCAACUGAAAAGUAGUGUAAUCCACACCACGAGUCUCAACUAGGCCUAAAUGAUGGAUUCUAUCCUCACAAGCAAUCAAAAUUUAUUACGCAUCCUCGCACGGUGUGUCAAAAAACUUAGGCAGAGCUAAUCUUAAGAACCUACCCAAAAUCUUCUGUUCCUUACCAAACAUAGAAAGAUGGGAAACCACCGUUUGAGCAACUAUUAGCUGGGCAAAUACGAAUGCAGAAGGGACUCUAGGACUUACAGCUACAGGCUAAGUACCAAUCUAAUCCGCAGACUAUGCACUAUCAAAUGGUGACCACCAACCAAUCCAAAAAUCUAAACCAAAGCAUCCCUAAGAACUAAGAAGAAAUAAACCUCGAUAGAGCAUAGGCUAGUCUCUAGCCCAAUGGUAGCUGGAGCAAAAGAAUCUCUAGCUUGAGAGUAGAAAUAGGGUAUGCUAAAGGUUCCCUAUACUGGCCCCUCGAUGGGUACCCAUCCCUAAGCUAUCCAUGACCUCUAGGUCAUCUACGGACAGCGAAAAGAUCCCUAGGAUCGAUCUUGGGACCCUUGUCUCGUGUAGUGGUAGUACACAUCCUAGUCAUCUGCCAAAGAGUAAAACCAAAGGAAUGCUUUAGAAACCAACUCAGACUCUUAGCAUGAAAUGAGUAAAAGAAGUGAAGAACUCAUAAGAAUGUCCUAUAGCCUCUCAAAGAUAAAGAAAUAGAUGUCAUCAUUCUGAUCCAAAGGACUCUACUAGACACUUGCUCUUGUACCAACAAUACUAGUGAAACCUGACUCUAAUAUCAAUUUUUCAUAACCCGAUUUAUGAGUCAUGAUGAUACCUACUUUAUCCCGCCAGUAGUUAAGAUGAACCAUAGCUCAGAGCUACCCGCAAUGGGCUAACUUGGUGGAAAGGGGCCUAAAUUGUCCGAAAAUCAACAUUGAAAGAGUUAAAACAACAAAUAAGCAGUCAUAACAGUCUAAUGGGUAGAUAAAAGAGUAAUAAUAAUCACAAGACUUAGUAAUAUCGAUACAAGUGCUACUACAAAUAAACCAUAGGUAAUAAAUAAUCAAAUACUAUCUAUCUCAAAAAUCAAAGACUAGACCCAGAUAUAUAAAAGGAAAAAGGGUAAACCCAGAUAUAUAAAAGGAAAAAGGGUAACUCGACUCUGAGAACUUACCCAAAUUUGCAAAAACUAACUCAGCAUGAUCGUCGAAUCAGCGAUAAUAACUAGUACUUGGAUCUUCACCAAAAAUAUACAAAAGUGUAGUAUGAGUACCAAAACUACAGGCACUCAGCAGGCAUCAUUAGCCAACUGUACUAAAUCAUGACAUAAAUACGAUAUGAUAUAAGAUAAAGUAAACUAAGACAAGGUAAUAGGGAAAUUUUGGAAAUAAACUCCAACACUAUUGUGCAUAUAUAAAAAAAUACAUACGAAAUAGUAAUACAAAGAUCACACGUUUAUAACUACAAAUAGACCACCAUAAGCCAAUAAGUGCAAGAAAAUAAAUGACCCAACACAGGCCUCCAUAAGGGUAGAGGGUACAAUCAAGGAAAGUGAAUAACCUAGUGACAGUAAAUUACCAAUUACCAUGCCAUAACUAAGAAUACAUAUGAACCAUAUUAUAUCAUUAAUAACUCCCAAGAAUGCUGAACUUGAACCAAAAUUCAAUAGCAUCAUCAUCAUUACCAUCAUUUAUCGUACUCAUACCGAAACUCAUAUAUGUAUUACUAUCAUCACAAAUUGUCGGACUCGAACCUAAACUCAUAUAUCAUUUAACAAUAUCAAUGGACCAUGUAAAUAAACCAUAAUCUUAAUUCAUGUCACUAAAAUACAACAAUUAUCCACCGAAACUUACCUAAUAUUAGUACCAACUCUAUACUACCAAAUUAUAUAAGCAUCUAAUCUCUUCAAAGUCCCAAAAUAGUAUUAAUAAGGAUAAAUCAUGCGUAAUUAAGUCUUCAAAGGCUAAUACAAGUCUUGGCCUAAGGUAGGAUAGAGGGUCCCACUUCUAAUCUUCGAAAUUCAUUUUAGGAAAAUUCUAUCCUAGACUAAGCGAAGGUAUCUAAAUUUAUUUCUAGAUGUCAAAUAAGCCCUAAGAUAGCAAUUUAUCUAAAAUGUUAGCAAUUAAGUCAAUUUGACCUAAAUUAUGGUUUCAAGAUAGCCUAAAUAGUCCAAGUAACCCAAAUAUUUUCAAUCAUAUCUCCAACACAUAAAUCCCACCCUAUAUCUAGCAUAAUAUCAUACCACCGAUCUUCCUUUUUGAGAAGCUUUUGCAAGGUGCCACGGUAUCAAAAUCACAAUCUACUCAUCAAAAUGAAAGUAUUAAUACCCAUAUUGCACUGUUGUUCUUUGGAUCCAAAAUCACGUAAAAAUUAACAUGGGGCUUAUUUAGGAAUCGCACUUUCAAAACCAACACAACGUUACUCUAUGCUCAAGGAACCCUUACCCUAAAAAAUUAGUGAAUGUCAAGUUAUAAUGGUGCUAAAAUCAAGCCACCAAGCUUUUAAGAGUUUUGAAUAAGAGUGGAGAUUAAAUCGGGAAAUUAAGGGUAACUUAUCACAAAUUCGAAGAAGAAAUGAGUAAAUUGAUGUUACCAAAGCUCCAAAACCACCCACAAAUGAUCCUCCCAAGUUUCACACUAUUUUGGGUUUUACUCUUGUGAGAAUGGAUGAAAAUUGGAAAGAAAUUUGGCAAAAAAGAGAAUUUAUUAGCAUCAGGUGCCGCUAAAUUGGUACCCGUCCCAUGAGCCAGGCUACUAAAGCGAACCAUGGGCUGCUUUAGUGCUAGCCGCUAAAGCACCCAUGUGUUGUUAAAAUGGUACCUGUUGGUUGAGCUAGGGCCGCUAAAAUGCCUAAUGGGCUGCUAAAUCGCCCAAAGGGCCACUUUAGCGGCCACACCAGAUAUCAUGCACCGGUUGGAGAUUUAGAACCUCCAACCCCUUGGGAUUAAUUUGGAAUCUCGUAUAUGCAAACGAACAAUGCUACCCUAUCAAAUUCAAUGUUUCAGACUUACAAGCGCAGUUAAAAUUUCCAUCUAAGAUCGUUUCGAUGAAAAGUAGGUCCCACCAACACUUGCUGUUUCUCUUAACUUCCGACCAAUAACCCGAAAUGAAUUCGGGAGCCUUGGGACCCAAACAAAGGGUCCAACUAACCUAAAACCGACGUGCCAGAGCUAUUGGAAUAUUCAGAAUUAGCAUAUAAGAUUGUUUGACUGAAGUGCUUGCCCGCUAAUUUAAAUCAGUGAAGGCUUCAAAAUAGAGAAUUAGCUCUAAAAACCAAAUGAAUUGCUCAGUAACCAAACUAUCAGUUCCAGAUCAGCUAUAAGAAAGCUCUAAAUGGUAAAAAUGAGAGAAAAUAUAGAAAAUGACCAGAAGGAUCAUUACAAUAGCUUUAUCUAUUAUUAAUAGGGGAGUGACUUGAUGGACGGUCUUCCCCACACAAUGUUUCAACAUAAAGAUGUGGAACACCAUAUGAAUGCACAGCGCAUCUGGAAUUUCAAGUAUAUAGGACAUAUUUCCGAUGUGUUUAAUCACCUUUAAAAGGUCAGUAUUUCCUUUCCAAUUUAUGAUUUUUUUUGUAAACAAAUUAAAUUUUAGAGAUAUGGUUUAGUUUGAUAUACACCCAAUCACCAAGAUCAAAAUGAUCAUCAGUUUCUACCUUAUCUGCCAGCCUUUUCAUUCUCUGUUGUGCCCUUGCCAGAUUAGCCUUCAAAAUCUCUAGUAUUUCAUUCCUUCGUACUAUAUAACGUACAGCAAUGUCAUCAGUUGAGCUCCCUAGGAUAUAACAAAUCAUAAUAAGAGGGUUCUAGCCUAUACAAUGUCUGAAAUAGACUCAUAUCUAUCGAUGACUAAAAGGUUGUGUUGUUCCAAAACUCUGCCCAUGGAAGCAUGGCUACCCAUUCAUGUGGUGAAUUUGUCAUAGAGCACUGAAUAAACUUCUCAAUGCGUUUGUUUGAUGGACUCAAAUUUGUCAUCUGUUUAUGGAUGAUACCCCGUACUCAUUGCUAAAGUUGCGUCUUGCAGCCUGUUGAGUUCCUUCCAAGAGGAUUGGAAAAAUCUAAAGUUACGAUCUGUGACAAUGGACUUUGAUGGACUAUGUAACUUGACUAUGUGGUUGAUGAAAGACUCAAGUGUUGAUUGAGCUAAAAAGGAUGAAGGUAGGGUAAUAAAGUGCCCAUACUUGGAUAGACAAUCAACCACAAUCAUAGUAGUAUAUUUUCCCUUAGAUGUUGGAGAACCACGUGAUGAAAUCCGUUGUUAUUUCUUCAAAAACCAUUCUGGAAUUGGAAGAGGUUGAAGAAUACUGGCAGGACAACAAAAAAUGUCCUUCAUUUGUUGACACACAUGGCAUGAUGCCACAAAUAUAUGAAUAUCAUGAUGCAUGUGCUGCCAAUAAAAAUUUGAUACAGUGCGAUGAAAGGUUCUAGCAACUCCAAUAUCACCACCUAUGACAAAUUCAUGAAAUUUGUGCAUCAAGGUGUUUUUGAGAGCACUAUCAGAUGGCAAAGUCAGACGAUCCUUAUAAAAUAAUAACCCUUACUGAAAAGUAAACUCCAAAUACAUACUAGGGUUUCCGCCCAUACAUUGUUAAAUAGCUAACAACUUAGGAUGUUGUUGAUUAGCUAUUCGUAAGUCACAUAACCAGUCAAAUGUUCUAGUAGAGAUGAUAUUGAGAUCCUUCAGGUGUGGGGGCAGAGAAUCUGCUGCUUUCUUGACUAGUAUUUCUUCCAAUGUGUUGAAAUUCUACAACUAAUGCCUAUGUCAUAAUCUGUCAAUAGAAGUUAAUUGCUUUCUACUUGCUAUUUUUCCUCAGAAUAAAUGACUUUUUUGGUCUUCUUAUCUACCUGGAAGGCUGAACUUAAUUCAUGUCCAAACUUUUGAUCUAACAAAAAUUCAGUUUGUAUUGAUCCAUUUUGCAUAUAAUAAUAGGUUUGAUUUGAUGAUUUAAGUUAAUAUUAAUCCUUUUUUUUUCUCUUAUUAUGCAUAAACGUCAUUUUGUUGGGUCUGUUAGACCCUAUCUCUCUCAUUCCGAGAGAACAAAGAGGCCCAAUAUCGAGUCAAAACCUCAACAAUUCCGAAAAUGAGUUGAAUAUGCUAAUAUUCAUCAGAUACAAAGGAAUAUACAUGAUAUAUAGGUAACAUACAAUUAUGAAUAGGGAAAGGAAGCAUAUUUACAAGUAGAAGACUAAAAUAGGUGUAUAUGUAAGUGAUAUACAGUCAUACACACAAGAGUGUCAAAAAUGCAUGUAAGAAGCUAUGAUAUUCAUCGGAUAUACAUGGCAGAAAUGGCCGUUAAAAAUGUCCCUAAUUUGAAGUCCCAAAUCUAGACAAAUUUAGAAUUGGCCAAAAGGCCCCAAAUCUCAACCCUCUCUCUUUUAUUUGUAAUUUAUAUUCAUCCUACGUGUAUUAACUCUAACUAUUUUAACUAAUUUAAAUUAAUCCCCUUUGAGUUUAUAAUCUUUGUUUUAUGCUUGUGAUUUUUCAAUUUGUUUACCAAUUUGUCAUGUAGAUCAGUCAAUUUGAAAUAAAUCAAAAGGAUCCUUUAAUUAUCACUCCUUAAAUAGGUCUCUGAAAAUCAAGUCUUUUUCAUACUAAGAUGGCAUUUGCUUCGAUGGCAUUUGCUUUGUUCACGUGACUAAUAGUUUACUUGUGUUAAAAUAAUUUUUGUCAAACCUAAAAAGCUAAUUUUUCUUGAAAAAUCCAAGCUCAUUAGGUAUUUUCAUAAAAUCCUUUUUUUUUUUUUUCAAAAGAUGCUAUUCUAACAAAAAGUUACUUUCGAUUAAAAAAAUAUAUAAUCCUCUUUUCCAUAAAGAUAUAAAUUUCUUUUCCUUAAAUUUAAAAUUUUGAAAUUUAGACUAAAUGGGUUUAUCUUUAAUUGAAGUAGAAUAUUUUUCACUUGAAUGAAUAAAUGUCAUUUUAGGUCUUCAAAUAAAUAAUUUAGAUAUUCUCUAUAAAAUUAAGUCUUUGCAAAUGUUUCCCACUUACUUUAAAGUUAGUCAUCUUUUUUGUUAAACCAUUUUUAAGACGGACAUGCCUAAUCUACUUAAAAACAUUCUAAGGGCGUUAAUUGAACCCUAACUCAAUUUCUCUUAUUUCAAAGGUUGAUUUCUAUUUUUGAAUCUUUGAACUUUCUUUAAGUCUUUUUUUGAACCCUAAGUCAAUUUCUCUUAUUUCAAAGGUUUAUUUCUAUUUUCUUUGAAAUUUCUUUAAGUUUUUCUUGAUAUAUUUAUAUAAAAAAUCAACUGGUCAAUCUGUAAUUUUUCUUAAAAUUAUUUCAAUUUUUUUCUAGAAUUUUGAAAUAGUUUAAAACAAAACCAAUUUACUUUAAAUGAAAUCCAAAAAAGGAUAAAACAAUCCCGAUGAUGGUAAAAGCAACUAAUGCUCAAACAAAACCAACAAUAUUUAUCCAAACCAUUCUCUCGGGCAUCACGAUAAUAAUACAGGUAAAUAAUGCUCCAAUAAGACCAAUACCAGCCCCUGCGCGGGCAUUAAAAUAAUAAUAAUUUCACAAAUCAAUAAUAAUAUUCACAUAAUCCCCCACGCAGCCAACACAAUAAAAUAAUGAUCUCAAAAUAUAAAUAUCAUGAUAAAAUCCCCAAUCCAUAGUAUACUUUACAUGAAUGGUUAAACUACCCAACUCAGUUUGAAAAAUGUUAAACCAUAACAUACUUCGAAAAGGCAAAUCUCAAGCUUGGACCCUUCAACCAGGAGUCCUUCCCUUUCGUGCGGUGUCAGAAUGAACUAAAUAUAUCACAAACAUAAUCUACACAUCCAAAGGAGUCUAAUGACAUAUUAGCUACUUUCGUUUUAGGUCCAAAAAUAAUUAAAAAAUCGACCUCGAAGAAAAAAUGAUAAAACCAAAAUUUUAUUAAAGAAUCAAGUUUCCCAUUCUCCAAUGAUUCUAAAUAUUGAAACCCACUAAAAAUAAGUUGAAAUUAAGCUUCAAAUCAUAAAAAGUCCAUAUUCUCUCUUUACCAAGUGAAACUUCAAAAUUUAAGUUUAGGAUCCAAGUUUAGAAGAUAAUUCAGUGAGAUAAUCAAUGAAUAAGGAUGGAAAUCAUGUUAGAAGCUCACUCAAAUCCAAUUUGAUGAAAAAAAGUAUCUUUGUAAUCGCCAAAACUGAGACCCCAAAACUUAAAAAUGAAAGAAUGAAGUAAAAGAAAAGAAAAAUAUAAUUUAUACCAACGACGUCGCCUGGGCGGUCGUUUGGUCACCUAAACGGCAUCGGCUAGGUGGCCAGACACACAUACAAUACUUAGAAAAUUGUGCUGGAAGGAAGGGCUUUUGUUUAGGCAGUCUUAGGUCCAUCCAGGCAACACCGCUAAGGCAACCAAAUAACCGCUGGGGCGGUUGCACCAGAACCAGAUUCAAAUGAAACAUUAUGCAACUAAAAUGACUCUGAAUGGACACUUGAGAUUCAAUCGAGAGCCCGUCCAGAUAGUUUAAUAAUGUUACUAGGCUAAUUGUGACAUUUUGGAAUCAAUAAAAUCAUUAUAUUUAUAAAAAAAAAGUCGUUAUCAACAAGUUAACUCUCGAGAAUCCCUUUUAGGCUAUUUUAACUAGUUUCUCAUCUAAUAGGUCAAAACUCUAAAUGAAGGGCUUAUGGAAUCACCAUCUGAUACUACUAACAACAAAAUGACAUUUCAAAUCUAAUGGAACUUAUAGAAUCACCAUCUGAUGCUCGGGUCACGAAAUAUCGACCAAAAUCAAACUAAUCACUUUCAAGACUACUCAAAUCACUCUCAAACACUUUGAGGACCAUUCCAACCAUCCCCAAAACUCAUAAAUGAUCUAUACAACUAUGGAAAAAGGAAAAAUGGUCAAAAUACAGAAAAAGUUAAAAAUCAAAACAAGGGUUGUUACACUUAGCCUUGAAAAAAAAUUCUUGAAGAGAAAUGAAAGAAAUAUAGUAACGGUUCUUAAAAUUUAUCAACCUUUCAAAAUUUUUAAGGAUAAGGCAUUAAUCAUUGGCAAAAAGAAUAAAAGACUUAUUCUUGGAAAGUUGUUAGGGGAGAUAUUAGACAAGGUAGACCAAGGAAAUUGAUACCAAUACCAACUUGAUCUAUUGUGGCUUUGUUUUGAUCCUCCUGAACUGAUUAGUUCUCGAGAUCAUCAACCUUCAUUUGAAUAUCUUUCUAUUUAUGAAUUUCUUCUUCAAUGAAAGUGAUACGAAAUGAAAUUAUGACAACAGAAAUGAACUACGAAAGAAAGUAAAGACAAUUAAUAGAGAGAUAGAUAUUUAGACACAAGAAAGAGUAACUAAGAACAAAAGUAUAUAUCAAAUCCUAAUACCCUCAAUUACAACUAAUUCAAACACCUAAUUUCUAUGGUGAUCAAGAGGGAGAUGAACUCCCUCUAAACCAAUGUUUCUAAAUCAAAGUUCAACAAAAGUUUUCCAACAGUCUCACUCAAUGGAGAAACAUUCAUCAGUUCAUCAAUAAUCUAGCAAAACUACGAGAAUGAGAAACCCUCAAAAGUAUUUAUAGUUUGGGCUAAUUAUUACAAUUUUAGGACCCAAAAGUGAUCAAAUUGGAAGAAAAGGCCCACUAGGGGCUGUUUUGAUCCGCUCUUUAAAUGUUAGAGCGGAUCCAAAGCGCAUUGGGCGCAAGUCCUUUCUAAGGGGCUUUCUAGCCCCGUUUUUCCUUCCCUUGCCUCCUUCAAUGAUCCUUGGACCAAUAUGAGUAUGAUCAUUAACAAAUGAAACCCUCUUGAUGGUAAGAAGGCCUCUUCAAGUACCUCCCACUUCAUGAACAAUCCUUGGAUCCUUUGAGGCUCCCGAGCUUGACUUCUAGUGAAUGGUUUGGAGCUAAUUCAAAUUGUAUCAUCCUCUCCAUCCUGGGAAGAAUUUAACCUCAAAUUAAAUGGGUGAUCAUCUUCUAUCAUGUCAAAGAGUGAAAGAUCACACAGAUUAAAGGUAUUACGCACUUGAUAUUUUGAAGGAAGGUCAAUUUUGUAGGCAUUGUUGUUUAUACUUUCAACCACUUAAAAUGGACCAUCACCUCGAGGCAUCAAUUUGCCUUUCCUUUGGGUUGGAAACCUAUCCUUUUGGAGGUUCACCCACACCCAAUAACCCAUUUCAAGAACAAGCCUCUUCCUUCCGUUGUUUACUCUUUUGUCCACUUCUUGAUUCUUUUUCUCAAGGCAAAUUCUCACCUUCUCAUGCAGCUUCUUUAUGGUUUCCACCCUCUUGUCUCCAUCUAAGCUUAUCACAAUAUCACUAGGCAAAGGAUUGAGAUCUAAAGAGAUAAGGGGUUUAAAACCAUAAACACAUUCAAAGGGAGUCAUACCAAUAGUCAAAUGGAUAACACAGUUAUAAGCAAAUUCGACUAGUGUUAGGUGGUCCUCCCAAGAGGCCAUUUUUUAUUUUACGAAGGUGUACAAAAUAGAACCUUGGGUUCUAUUUACCACCUCUAUUUUCCCAUUCGUUUUUGGGUGGCAAGAUAUUGAGAAGAGAAAUUUGGUAUGAAGCCAACCCCACAACGACCUCCAAAAGUGACUAAGGAACUCAGAGUCCCUAUAACUAACAAUAGUCCGAGGAAUUCCAUGUAUUUUGACAACAUACUCAAUAAACAAAUAAGCCACAUUAGAAGCAUCAUCAAUUUUAUGUCAUGGAAUAAAAUGGGCCAUUUUUGAAAAAUUAUCAACCAUAACAAAAAUGUGAUCUCUACCCCUCCUUGUCUUAGGCAACCCCAAAAUAAAAUCCAUAGAGAUGUCAAGUCAUGGGCGUUGAGGAGUGGGUAGUGGGGUGUAUAAUACUUGAGGUAGAAGGUGGGAUUUCAUACUUCUACAAUCCAUGCAUUGGCCACAAAUUCUAGCAACAUCUUGACGCAUCUUGGGCUACAAGAAUUGUUCCUCUAGGAUUCGAAGUGUCUUACCAAUUCCAAAGUGACCUAUUAUACCCUCAUAAUGUGCCUCUCUUACAAACAAUUCUCUCCAAGAGCUAGAGGUCACACACAACCUUCUUCCAUUAAAUAAGAAACCAUUAAAAUUGGAGUAGGGCAUAAAAGCAUUAUCCCUCUCCCCCCUUUCCCUACCUCGUAUCUCAUAAUCUUAAUAGAUUUGAGCAAAUUGGGAUUCCUCUGGGUACAUUGUCUUUAGACUCUCAAAUCCCAUCAAUUUAGAAGACAAUGUAGAGAUAAGCACAUGCUUCUUAUAAAAUGCAUCGGCUACCACAUUUUCUUUUUCCUUUUUGUAUUGAAUUACAUAAGGGAAAUUCUCUAGGAAAGCAAUCCACUUGGCAUGUCUUUUAUUGAGUUUACCUUGGGCCUGGAGAUGUUUCAAAGUAACCUGGCCUGAUACCUAUUCACUCGCCUGGACAGGACUCAUGAUUGGUUUGAACUACAAACUCCUUGGGCCACAAAUAAUGUUGUCAAUUACCCAAGGCUCUCAUCAAGGAUUAUAACUCUAGAUCAUAGGUGGAAUAAUUUAGAGUUGCGCCCUUUAGCCUUUCACUAAAAUAGGAAAUAGGUUAAUGAUCUUGCAUUAACACGGCACCUAUUCCUACCCUACUUGCAUCAUAUUCAAUCUCAAACAUCUUAUCAAAACUGGGUAAUUGCAAUAAGGGGGUAGAGCUAAGAAUAGCCUUCAAAGCUUCAAAUGCAUGGCUUGCUCAUCACCCCAUUUAAAAGGUUUAUCCUUAUGGAUCACCUUGUUCAAAGGAGAGGUGAUGGUACUAAAUCAUUUGACAAAUUGCCUAUAAAACUAGCCAACAUAUGGAAGUUUCUUACUUUACCAACAGAUUUUGAAGUUGGCCAAUUCUUGAUGGCGUCUAUCUUAGAUUCAUCCACCACGACUCCUUUUGAGUUCAUAACAAAUCCCAAGAAAACAACUUCAUUCACACCAAAAGAACAUUUUUCAAGAUUAGCAUACAACUUCUCUAAUCUGAGCACUUCAAACACAUUUUACAAAUGUAAGACAUAUUCUUCAAGAUAUUUGCUAUAAACUAGAACAUCAUCAAAGUAUACCACAACAAACUUUCCUAUGAAUGAUUUUAUCACAUGGUUCAUCAACCACAUAAAGGUACUAGGAGCGUUGGUGAGGCUAAAAAGAAUGACCAACCAUUCAUAAAGACCAAACUUGGUCUUGAUAUGGUCUUCCACUCAUCACCCGGUUGCAUCCGAAUUUGGUGGUACCUGCUCCUAUGAUCUAUCUUAGAAAACACCGAAUGUGGUUCCACCAAAUUCAACUCAUCAAGCAUAUCAUCCAAAUGGGGAAUUAGGUGGCGAUACUUUACCGUUAUUUUAUUAAUGGCUCGACAAUUGACACACAUGCGCCAUGUUCCAUCUUUAUUUGGCACUAGCAACACCAAAACCGCACAUGGACUCAUGUUCUCUUUGAUGUAUCCUUUGUUUAGUGGUUCCUCAACUUGACUUUAUAGCUUUUUUGUGUCCUUUAGAUUACUUUGGUAAGUCAGUUUGUUGGGUAAUUGAGAACCCGACACAAAAUCAAUUUGAUGCUUAAUACCCCAAAGUGGGGUCCUUGGGGAAGCUCCUUUGGGAACACAUCUUCAUAGUCCUACAAAAUAAGGGAAAUAGAAUGGGGGAUAGGAGAAGGAGAGUGGUUUGCAUAAAAAUCAUGGGCUAGGAAGAGCAUGGGUGUUUUGUCAUAAUUCUCUUUGAAAAGAUCUUUGUUCCUAGCCAGCAUCACCAAGGGACUCUUCCCUUAUAACCUCUUUUUCUCCUUUUAUUCAUCCCACUUCUCUGUUUGGUCCUUCUUCUCACCUUGUUUCUUAUCCUUCUUUUUUAAUUCUCUUAAUUUUUGGUGAUGUUUAUUCACCUGAAAUGGCGAAAGUGAAUGGAGAGUGAAUUUCUGACCAUUCAACUCAAAAGAGUACUGAUUGGUCCUUCCAUCGUGCUUGAUUGAGCAAUUAUAUUUCCAUGGUCUCUCAAGUAAUAGAUGACAAGUUUACAUAGGUAUCACAUCACAAUGCACCAUAUCAUGAUAAUCCCUGAUUUUAAACUGAAUCAAUACUUUCCUAGUCACUUUCAACUCACCACAAUCAUAAAACCAUUGAAGUUUGUAUGGUUUGGUAUGUUUGGUUGUGGGCAACUUCAAGAAAUCAACCAAAGUAUCACUACACACAUUAGCACAGCUUCCACUAUCAAUGACCAAAGAACACACGCUUUCCUUUAUAAGACAUUUAGCAUAAAAUAGAUUCUCCCUUUGACUAGGGUCAUCUAUCACCUUACUAAUCAUUGCACGCCUUAGAAUAAAAUUUAGAACCUCAGACUCUCCAUCUUGAAGCCAAGCAUCUUCAUUAUCCUCCUUUGUCUGCUUAUCUUCUUUGGACCCUUCUCAAUCUUAGGAAUUUUCAUUAUUCUUAUCUUCCAAUUCCACUUCUUCUCCAAGGUAAUACAAUUUUACUUACCAAAGGAUCACAUUUCUCUGGUUGCGAAAUUCACUUGGCUUAUUUCCCCACCCUUGACAUUUAAAAUAUUGAAAACCAUUAGGAUUAGGAGUAGGAUAUUUUUUACCUUCAUUUCUUGAUGGGUACUUUGGAGUGGUCUUCUCUAUGAGAUUUUUGUCAUUGGACUUGUAGUCCUUGUACUUGUCAUUGGUCUUAUCUAUUAAAAUUUUAUAUUUUAAUACCCAUUGAUGCAUGUAGGAACUUAUGGAGUGUAAGGAAGCGCCACGAUGCAGUGAAAUCGCCAGUGAAAUUCUGGAAAUUGACUCACUGGUGGUCAAAAUGGUGUACCACCAGUCUGGCAACUGACCACCAGUUCGAACACCAAGUUAAAAUAGAAUUCAGGAUUUCAAGACACUCAGUGAAGGUCAAAAUAGUGGACCACCAUCUUUGCGACUGACCACCAAACUGACCACCAGAUUCAAGAUUUCAAAAAAACUCACUGGUGGCCAAAAUGGUGGACCACCAGUCUUGUGACUGACCACCCAAUUGAUCACCAGACCUAAAACAGAAGUACAGAUUUCAGCACAUCCAACGAAGGUCAAAAUGGUGGACUACCAUCAACUUGACCACCAACUACGAAAUUUUUCUGAAUACAAAUUUUAAUUCCAUUUUACUUGGGAACAUAUAAAUACCAGCUUUAGGAUUUAUUAGGGAAAGNNNNNNNNNNNNNNNNNNNNNNNNNNNNNNNNNNNNNNNNNNNNNNNNNNNNNNNNNNNNNNNNNNNNNNNNNNNNNNNNNNNNNNNNNNNNNNNNNNNNNNNNNNNNNNNNAAGAUUCAAGAACAAAUUCUUGUAACCUUUGUAAGUAAAUCUUGAAUUUAUUUAUGAAUAAUACAAAGAUGCUUUCUAUUUCUUCUAUGAAAAUGUGUGGCUAAGCUCCCAUAACUAGGGUUAUGGGAGACUUGAUGUGAAAAAUGGAUUUUGGAUUGUGAAUCCAAUUAAGUUCUAUAAGUAAUGGACAUUGUAUAAACCUUUCUUCACUUUAAUGACUUUUCUUGGUUGCAAACUUGAAGAGUGAGCCCUUAAACAUCACUUGUCCAAAAUGAAAAGUGUGUUGGGAAAAGAAAGGGUUUGCAUGAAUUCUCAAGGCUCUAAACCUUAGAUUAACGAUGAAUACCUUAGCAGGAUUGAUCUACAUGAGAAAAUAGUUGAAUAAAUAAUAUAUCCUUUGAGUUUGAGAGAAUUGAGGGAUAAAUUACCCAAUCAAGUUGAGAAACUAAUGGGUAAAUAAUAGGAAUCAACUACUCUUACAAUGGAAAUUAUUAAUUGGAACUCAUAAGUGAUUCACAACCCUAAUUCUUCAAGCAUCUUGGUAACCAUAACUCUGGUUUGUUUAAUAUCAUUGAAUUACUACUUACAAAAUGAAUCAUUAGAUGGAAUAACUCUGUUACAAUUAACUAGGACAUAAUUCACAAAUUAAAACCCCCCAUUUUAUCUUUUCGUAUCAUUUAUUUGAAUUCAACUUGUAGCUAUAGUUUCAAAUUAGUUUAAUCGCCACUCACAUUGUUCCCUGUGGAUUCGACCCCGACUCCAAAGUUGGAUAAAAAUAUUGACGACGACCGCCUUGCACUAAAUUGACGUGUAAGUUGAGCAUUAUCAAAAAUGGCGUCUUUGCCGGAGAACAAUUUGGAGUAUUGAGUUGGUUUGGAAUUUUUAGUUUACUUGCUUGAAUUCAAACUUGUAAAUAUUUGUUUAGUUUUUUUUAUUUUCUUUUAUUUUUAUUAUUCUCACACCUUUUUUGAGAUGUCAACCUGGAUAGAUGGUUUUCGGAGUAAUGAAGAUUCUUGUGACGAUUCAUGUGAUUAUUGUGGGGACCACAUUAUGAGGCUUACUGCCCAUAUUUUAAUGAAACUAUAACUUGGUGUUUGACUUGUGGUCAAAGUGAUCAUUCUAAAGAUAUGUGUGCUUCCACAAUUCAAGUGGACAAAUUGAUAAAAUAAAUUUUAGAAAACUAAGCACAGUGGGAAAAGCUAAAGGAGUUACCACUCCCACCAUGUUUACAGUGGCUAAACAAAGAAGAAUAUGAGGAGGACAUUAGCCAAUUUGAGGAGAAAACUCAAGAAUUGCAACCACUCGAUUGUCAUCUUAAUCUUGAGACAAACAUUGAAAAGGUGAAUAAAAGUAGAGUGUGUAGUAGAUAGUGUAAAUUAUGAAGUAGAAUUAGUUGGGCCUCACUCGAAGCAUUUUUUUCACAUUAUGUUUAGAUGAUAUCUUGUCUAUGGAAUCAUCUAAAAUAGUGGAAGAGUGUGAAGAUGAGGAACAAGAAUCCUAUUUUCUUUAUUUUACACUUGAUAAGAAACAUAAAAACACACCUCACUUUAAGAUCGAGUUGUUUACCAUGCAUCAUCCAUUACUCGGCUUCUUAAUCUUUAUACCACCUCCUUAUGAGCGAGGCAAAAAGUUGGAUGCUAAGUUGGGGGUAAAAUUUAUAUCAUUAAGAUGGAGGGAAAAACGUGAUUAAGUCAUGCCGCGACACUAAAUUAGGCGCUUCUUGGGAGGCAACCCAAGCUAAGGUAUUUUUUUCUUUUUAAUUUUUAGUCUUAAGUUUUUAUUUCAAGUAGUUUUAUUUUUGGUUGAGUCACAGGUUAAUGGGAAGUCUGAGUGCCAUAAUCUUGCGCAAAGGAGCAUAGCAUAAAAUAAGUGUGGGGUUCCAAGGAUCUCCUCUAUGUGAAGAUGCAUCUAGCUAGGCCUAGAGGCCUCAGGGAGUAUUUCUAUCGCUUCGUUUAAAAAUUCACUUUUGGGACAAAGUAGAUUUUUAAGUGUGGGGUGGAAAAAUUCCCAAAUUUUGGCUCAAUUUUUUUUUUUUAGGUUUGGAAUAAUGAGGUAUUCUUGUUGGUGCUAUUUUUGAUUACAUGAUGCAAGUGGGUUGUUUGUAAAAGCAUGUUGAAUUGUGGGAAUUGCUAUUUUUGAGACUCUUAGGCUCAUGUUUGUGACUCUUGUAAUUGUUGGCUUAAUUUUGAAUUUGUGCUAUUGUUUGGUUGAGAGUCUAUGAUGAUCCUCUGUGAAUUGAGCAUGUUCCAUGUGCGUGUGAGAUUUUUGUAUAUUCCUUGUUGCAUAUUAUGUCUAGAACUUGUCCGGUGUGUGUGUGAAGCGAAAUAAAGAAUGUGAGUUUAGGAGAUGGUUAGGCAUUUCUGAGUUUAGGAGAUGGUUAGGCAUUUCUUUGAUAGCCUAGUUUUAUAUCUUCUUUUACCUACCCUUUUGCAUUAUCUUAGUUAGCCUCAUUGAGCCUUUAGCUUUCUCUUUGGCAAUCUCAUGUGAAGCCUAAUCCCCUUCCUUGAUUGACCUUAAUUUGAUCCAAAUCUUCUAAGUGCUUUAAUAUAAAGGACAAAGUAGGAAGGUUUGUGAAACUGAAGGAGGAAGGUGAAAGUGAAACUCUAAGGAAAUGUUCAUUGUGUUCCUAAAUUAUGAUGGUUAGGAACUACAGAAAGUAUGAAAGCAAUUUUAAACUUUUUGGUUGCCCAUUUUUUGCUACAAUGAACCUGUUUUGGCCCUGGUCCAUUUAGGAAAAUGUGCACCUCAACCAAAGCGAAUAGCUUUAGUUGAGGGUGGCUACUAUAGGGGUGCGUAACAAUAACUGGUGUAUGAAGGAGAGUUGAGAAUUACUUGUGAUGUAAAAGGGAAGUACUCCUACCAUAAUUGUUGUUAAUGUCUUGAACAAAGUUAGGGCAAAAACAAAAAGAAUAGGGUGAAAAAAAAAUAAAAUUUCUGAUGUAAUUUGGUUGUUGAAUAUUUGUUUUAAAUGUAUAAGGUAGUGUAUUAAAGCACUUAGAGAGGAUAGUCACUAUUCUUGGCCUACCUUUCCGCUAGCUUACAUUACAGCCCAGAAAAGACCUACUUGAUCUUAAGCUUUACAUUUGACUAUUAGUGGAGCAUUACACAAAGGGAAAGCCUGUGGCUCAUUAUGUGUAACUUGUGAAUUCUUUGUGAGAGAAAGCAAAAUUUGAUUCUUAUACCCAUUGUUAUAAAUUGCAUUAUUGUGAGUGAUUAUGGAUAACUCUCUUGUUGUAAAGGGCACAUGUUUGAUGAAUAUAGGUAAUUUGUAAGAUGUCUUUGACUGAAUAAUAAGCAUGAGUUUGCUAAUAAGGUGAGUAAAUUCUUGAGGCUCGGAUGUUUUGGAAGUAGGAUUCAUGAGCUUUCCAUUAUGUUUGUGACAUGCUUAGUGUAGAAAUUUGCAUUACGCGUAGUGAUUGUAGUACUAGCUUGAAUGUAUUGCAUGUAGAAGGAGUGUGGAAUCUAUGCAUCCCAUGAUACUUAGAGUGAAUAUUUUUUUGAGGAUGAACAAGGUUUUAAGUGUGGGGUGUUAAUGUUGGGUGUAUAUAUUCAUUCUAGCAUUACUAUUUUAGCCCUUUUUAGCCUUGUUUUGAGGAUGAUUCUUACGAUAUAUGUGAUAAUAAUGACAUAAAUGUGCAUUCAUGUUUCCAAAUAUGGGUUUAUAAUGCUUAAUGGUGUUUUUACAUAAGUUUUGAUUCACUUCGAACAUUUAGAGGUCAAUCGAGAAAACUAGUGUGACUAGCUUGAGCUAGGUGUUUGUCUAGUCUAUUAUGUUGGGUUCUAAUGUAUUUUAACGAGUUACUAAGGUUGUUAUUAUGUAUAUAUAUGUGAAACCACUUAUUUAUAAUAUUCAUAGGUCAAUUGGAUCAAGAAAAGAUUCAAAACAAAGAGCUAAAAAUCAAAGUGAAACUAGCCUAUCCUUAGCUCGUGUUUUGAGUCUAGGAUGUUGUGUGGUUUUGAGCUCUACUUUGUGGUGUUUAAUGCUUUAUGAUGAUUUUUUAAUGGAUCAUGAUGAUAUAUGAAGGAUAUACAAGCUUCAAAUCAAGUGGAAACAACUCAAUAAGGCUCAGAAUGGCUCAACGAAACCGAAAUGCGGAAAUUGACUCCAUUUGGAGUCCUGAAAUGUAUUGGACCAUUGAUGGCGCGUGGAAAGUCCAAUGGAUACAUGUAAAACACCACUGGAUUCAUAAAAGUUUGUAGUUUGAGACCAUUGGUGCGUGUAGGAAUUUAUGGAGUGUAAGGAGGCACCACGAUGCGGUGAAAUCGCCAGUGAAAUUCUAGAAAUUGACUCACUGGUGGUCAAAAUGGUGGACCACCAAUCUAGCGACUGACCACCAGUUCGAACACCAAGUUAAAACAAAAUUCAAGAUUUCAGGACACUCAGUGAAGGUCAAAAUGGUGGACCACCAGCUUUGCGACUGACCACCAAACUGACCACCAGAUUCAAGAUUUCAGAAAACUCACUGGUGGCCAAAACGGCGGACCACCAGUCUUGCGACUGACCACCAAACUGACCACCAGACCUAACAUAGAAGUAUAGAUUUUAGCACAUCCAGUGAAGGUCAAAAUGGUGGACUACCAGUUUUGCGGUGGACCACCAACUUGACCACCAACUUGCACAAAAUUUUUCUGAAUACAAAUUUUAAUUCCAUUUUACUUGGGAACAUAUAAAUACCAGCUUUAGGAUUUAUUAGGAAAGAUAUCAUUAUAUUUGCAUCUUUUAUCAUAGCCUCUAUACUUGAAACUCUCUGUAAGGUAGUAUUUUUUGGAAUUAAGCAAAUAUUGUGGAUCUAAUCAUUCCAUCUCUAUUGAAGAUUCAAGAACAAAUUAUUGUAACUUUUGUAAGUAAAUCUUGAAUUUAUUUAUGAAUAAUACAAAGAUGCUUUCUAUUUCUUCUAUGGAAAUUUGUGGCUAAACUCCCAUAACUAUGUUUAUGGGAGACUUGAUAUGAAAAAUGGAUUUUGGGUUGUGAAUCCAAUUGAGUUCUAUGAAUAAUGGAAAUUGUAUAAACCUUUCUUCACUUUAAUGACUUUUCUUGGUUACAAACUUGAAGAGUGAGCCCUUAAACAUCACUUGUCCGAAAAGAAAAGUGUGUGUUGGGAAAAGAAAGGGUUUACAUGAAUUCUCAAGGCUUUAAACCUUAGAUUAACAAUAAAUGCCUUAGCAGGAUUGAUCUACAUGAGAAAAUAGUUGAAUAAAUAAUAUAUCCUUUGAGUUUGAGAGAAUUGAGGGAUAAAUUACCCAAUCAAGUUGAGAAAUUAAUGAGUAAAUAAUAGGAAUCAACUACUCUUACAAUGGAAAUUGUUAAUUGGAACUCAUAAGUAAUUCACAACCCUAAUUCUUCAAGUAUCUUGGUAACCAUAACUCUGGUUUGUUUAAUAUCAUUGAAUUACUACUUACAAAAUGAAUCAUUAGAUGGAAUAACUCUGUUACAAUUAAUUAGGACAUAAUUCACAAAUUAAAAACCCCUCAUUUUAUCUUUUCGUAUCAUUUAUUUGAAUUCAACUUGUAGCUAUAGUUUUAAAUUAGUUUAAUUGUCACUCACAUUAUUUCCUGUGGAUUCGACCCCGACUCCAAAGUUGGGUAAAUAUAUUGACGACGACUGCCUUGCACUAAAUUGACGUGUAAGUUGAGCGUUAUCAUAGAUAGUUAUGCAUGGAGAGAUAUCUUUUUUCAACCCAACCUUGAAGCAUAUGAUUUUAUAGUUCACAUUCUCUCAAAGGUUGAGCUUCAAGAUCAAUUGUUGGAAUUCAUCAUAAUAGUCCAUAACACUCUUGCUACCUUGCCUCAAGUUGUACAACUUAGCAAGUAGCUCAUGUCUAUACCUCUCUGGAAUAUACUUUUGUUUCAUGAAUACCUUCAACGCAUCCCAUGGAGGGAGAUGUCCUUCAUUCAACACAUUUCCAAAUCUCUUGACAUAAUUUCACCAUGUAUUGGCAUACGCUUCAAAAUGAGUUAUGGCAUAGCAACUCUUCUACUCUUCGGUGAUAUCAUUAACUUGGAAGAUCAUUUCACAAGAGGACUCCCAUAAGAGAUAAACUUCGGGAUCACUUUUUUCUUUGAAAGUUGGAAGACUAACCUUAAUUGAAUUGAAACCCACAUCUCAAUCCCUAUUACUGUAACACCCCGUAUUCAAGUACGUGUAUUGGCUUAUUCAAGUACGUGUAUUGGUCUUAUUUAUAUGGAAUUAAUUUUUUUAUUUUAUUUAUAGUGGAAUUUGCCUGUCGAUGGUUCCAUGCGAAGGUUAUUGAAUAAGCUUUUCAACGAUAUAAAGAUUUCCAAACACGGAUAGGUUUCGGAUAUAAUCGAGCACGUUCGAAACUAUAAAACGGUGGUCGGGAUAUUUGGGAAUAGUAAAUGUGCAGGAACAUUUCCUGCACACAAACUACUUAGGCCAGCCAAAUUUUUGGGUCAACUUCGAAUGAUCAUAACUCCCUUAAUAUAAUGAACUGGGAGAGCUGCGGCCAAUGAAAAGAAAGAUCUUUGAGUCUUCUUUCCAAUGCAAUUGGUUUCAUCCAAAUCCAACGUCUGAGUAAGGAUCUAUACUCGUUUUACUUCAGCCUAUCAAAACAAAUUUUUAGGGUCAACUUCAAACGACCAUAACUCCUUGUACAGGACGAACUGGGUGACCUACUUUAUAUGAAAUGAAAUCCCUUUGAAUUAUCCUUCCAACAAUACCAAUUUCACCCAAAUACGAUAUCGGAGAAAAGAGUUAUGGUCGAUCUACUUUAGCUUAUCAAAACAUUCCACCAAAGGACGGAUUUGAUAUUAUUUAAAUUUUAAAGGCAUUUUGGUCAUUUCCUAUUACAUUAUGGACGGUAAUAUGUGUAUAUAUACAUGUAUAUGAGUUCAAAAACUCAUUUUCAUCAUCAAUCAUUGAGAAAUAACAAACCCUAGCCAAAUUUGACCUUUAAAUUACUUUUGAUUCAACCGUAGAAAUUCCAAAGUAAUCCGAUAACUGCGUUUGUCAUCUCGAGAGCUUCGAACGGCACCUAUUAUUUGUGCAAACAGGAUUGCAUAAUCAAGAGGUGAAUUCUAAGGUAUGAAUAUUGUUUGCCUUUGUUCUNNNNNNNNNNNNNNNNNNNNNNNNNNNNNNNNNNNNNNNNNNNNNNNNNNNNNNNNNNNNNNNNNNNNNNNNNNNNNNNNNNNNNNNNNNNNNNNNNNNNNNNNNNNNNNNNNNNNNNNNNNNNNNNNNNNNNNNNNNNNNNNNNNNNNNNNNNNNNNNNNNNNNNNNNNNNNNNNNNNNNNNNNNNNNNNNNNNNNNNNNNNNNNNNNNNNNNNNNNNNNNNNNNNNNNNNNNNNNNNNNNNNNNNNNNNNNNNNNNNNNNNNNNNNNNNNNNNNNNNNNNNNNNNNNNNNNNNNNNNNNNNNNNNNNNNNNNNNNNNNNNNNNNNNNNNNNNNNNNNNNNNNNNNNNNNNNNNNNNNNNNNNNNNNNNNNNNNNNNNNNNNNNNNNNNNNNNNNNNNNNNNNNNNNNNNNNNNNNNNNNNNNNNNNNNNNNNNNNNNNNNNNNNNNNNNNNNNNNNNNNNNNNNNNNNNNNNNNNNNNNNNNNNNNNNNNNNNNNNNNNNNNNNNNNNNNNNNNNNNNNNNNNNNNNNNNNNNNNNNNNNNNNNNNNNNNNNNNNNNNNNNNNNNNNNNNNNNNNNNNNNNNNNNNNNNNNNNNNNNNNNNNNNNNNNNNNNNNNNNNNNNNNNNNNNNNNNNNNNNNNNNNNNNNNNNNNNNNNNNNNNNNNNNNNNNNNNNNNNNNNNNNNNNNNNNNNNNNNNNNNNNNNNNNNNNNNNNNNNNNNNNNNNNNNNNNNNNNNNNNNNNNNNNNNNNNNNNNNNNNNNNNNNNNNNNNNNNNNNNNNNNNNNNNNNNNNNNNNNNNNNNNNNNNNNNNNNNNNNNNNNNNNNNNNNNNNNNNNNNNNNNNNNNNNNNNNNNNNNNNNNNNNNNNNNNNNNNNNNNNNNNNNNNNNNNNNNNNNNNNNNNNNNNNNNNNNNNNNNNNNNNNNNNNNNNNNNNNNNNNNNNNNNNNNNNNNNNNNNNNNNNNNNNNNNNNNNNNNNNNNNNNNNNNNNNNNNNNNNNNNNNNNNNNNNNNNNNNNNNNNNNNNNNNNNNNNNNNNNNNNNNNNNNNNNNNNNNNNNNNNNNNNNNNNNNNNNNNNNNNNNNNNNNNNNNNNNNNNNNNNNNNNNNNNNNNNNNNNNNNNNNNNNNNNNNNNNNNNNNNNNNNNNNNNNNNNNNNNNNNNNNNNNNNNNNNNNNNNNNNNNNNNNNNNNNNNNNNNNNNNNNNNNNNNNNNNNNNNNNNNNNNNNNNNNNNNNNNNNNNNNNNNNNNNNNNNNNNNNNNNNNNNNNNNNNNNNNNNNNNNNNNNNNNNNNNNNNNNNNNNNNNNNNNNNNNNNNNNNNNNNNNNNNNNNNNNNNNNNNNNNNNNNNNNNNNNNNNNNNNNNNNNNNNNNNNNNNNNNNNNNNNNNNNNNNNNNNNNNNNNNNNNNNNNNNNNNNNNNNNNNNNNNNNNNNNNNNNNNNNNNNNNNNNNNNNNNNNNNNNNNNNNNNNNNNNNNNNNNNNNNNNNNNNNNNNNNNNNGUAGGAGCCAGGAUAUCCAGCUGCUUUUGGUGAGCUCCAGUUUGCUUCGGGGCUUUCUGUGUCAUAUCCAGUCACUUUUGGUAUUGUAUAGAAGUUAGUUAUAUGGCGGGGUUUGUCCCGACCUUAGUUAAACUCUGUGUAUUGUCUAGAGGCUUUGUAGACCUAAUAUACAGUCAAGGUGGUGUUUUGUUAAUAGACGUGAUGGCUCUAACGGCCAAGUAUUAUAUAUACAUAUAUAUAUGUGCUCGAGCUUAUACAGGUGAUUAUUUCCUUUUAUAUGCGACAUGAUGUUGUCCAAAUUUCGGGUUGUCAUAGAGGUAUGCAUGGGAAGUAUAAGGUUAUGAGCUGGUUCUCCCGGGCCUCCUCGGUUAUGGGUGUCAGCCCGCCCCAAUAGGAUUUGGGGUGUGACAAUUACCUUGUUAGUUCCAUUGAUCAUAACCUUGUGGUCGGUUUCCUAAGUUUUCUCUACCAUUAGGCUCCGGACUAAAUCUUCCUCCUUGACCUCGAUAACCUCUUCGAUCCAUUAGUCUACCUCUCAUUUUCUUUACCAACAUGUUGGCUUCAUCAAAUACCCUGAAUUUCACUUAUUGUUAUUUCUUUUCUUCCUCGUCUAUUGGAUGGGUUAGUUUUGGUUAAGGGGUGCUUGGAAUGGGGGAAUUUGGUUUAAUGGAGGUUGGGGUAUUCGGGUUCAAGAUUCAUUAUGUUGUGUUUGGUUGAAUUGAGGUUGGAGUAGUUGAACAACAUGUUGGUUUUGUGGAUAUGUAGUUGCUUGGAGAAUGGAAUCAUGUUUUUGUAUUGGUGGAUUGAUUAUUUGGUAAUGGUUUUCGGAGGAAAUAUGAAUCGAAGGAUUUGAAGCAUGCACACUAGUAAGCAUGGUAGUGUUGAGGUAUGGAUAGGGAUGUGUUUUGUCGACCUUCCAUGAUAUCCACUCUUCCGCCAAUGAAGGAUACACUCCCCUUCAAGAGAAUCCACCUUAAGGUCAAGUGAAUUUAUCUUAGCAUCCAUAGAAUCAAUUUUACAAUUGAGAGUUUCAAUGGCCGCUAAGAUAGCAUUUGUUGAGUGGUUAUCAAUGGUUUGCGAAGUUUUUCCUUUCGUAUUUAUUGUACCUAUGAAGAAAGACACUCACAAAAAUAAAAAACAUGUUAGUGUUAGAGAAAUUAACCUCACAAACUCAUCACACCUUUGUUUACCUCACACUUGGAUCACAAUUAUUGAAAGAUAGUUUAUACUUCGUGUGGUAAUCGAGGUAUCAAGUGAUACUCUUCAUCGGAUUAGACUCUUGUUUAAAAUUACUCAACAAAAAUAUGUACGAACUUGAUUCAAGAAGCUAGGAAGAAUUAAAAACUAGAUAAUAUUAAAAGAAAAGAAACGUUGAACGAUUCAGAUUCAAGAACUAAUCAUCCAACUUAGUAGGUGAAUUACUAGUUGUUGAUAGUUUUAAGAAUGAAAAGUUGAAUUUAAGAAUCAAGGAAUGAAACUAAGGAAUCAAACCUGAGAAAAUUAGAGUUUAUAAGUGUUUUAAUGUAUUUGUAACUUGCAUUGAACGUUUGGGAAGGCUUGAUAUAUGUUUGGGAGGUGUCACACACCUUGGACGCAACUUUAGAGCACUUCUAGUGCAGGUAGGGAAGGUUGCUCACUGUUUUGACCUAUGGCAGAUGUUCCAACGCACCUCCAUCACAGGUUGGCUGCAGGAAAGUCCUUAGACACUACCUUGAGGUGUGAAAAUAGGCUGGGAGCAGCUGCAGCGCACCUUGGGCGCAAGUCAAGGGUAAGUUGACCGCCCUUUUCUUGUUCCAAGGCUGAAAAUGCCCUUUUUGAUGUCUUUUGUCUAAUCUUCUCUUGGAAUAUUCUUGAAAUCUUUUUAGAUGCUCAAACACAAACACCUUUUCACUCUUUUUCUUCCUUCUUUUUGGAUCAAACACCCUCUUUUUUAUGAAUUUUCAAUAUGAAUACAAUAAUCUCCUCAAGAACGCACCAAGAACAUCAAUCUUUCUAAUUUUUUUCGGAACUUGGAAUGGGUUGAAAAUUUAAACGUAGGCACUUCUUAGCCUUCUUAACUCAUUCCAAACAUCAAAUUGCCCAAAUUCUUCACCAAAAUCUUCAUAUUUUCUAUUCACUUCAAACAUCUUCAACCCAAGCUUUCAACAAGGAUAAAACACUCAAAUAAGCUCUGAUUUGACUCAAAUUGGUUUAUAGACUCGUAUAGUGUUAGAGAAUGCAAAUUCAACACUAGAAAAACAAGAAAAAAUAAAAAUCAGAAACGUAAAAUGUGACCUAAGACCUAAAAUAUGAAUUUGCAUUUCUUUUGUGAUUUCGAUUUUAUACGACGACUAGACCCAAGAUUGACUUCAUAUGAAUGAAAUCAAGCUCAGCCCUGAUAUCAAAUGAUACGAAACAAAACUACGACACUAAAAACGAACUAAGAAAGCAAGUAAAGACAAUCAAUAGAGAGAGAUAAUUAGAUAUAAGAAAAAAAGGAUAUAUCAAAUCCUAAUACCCUCAAUUACAAUUAAUUCAAACACCUAAUUUCUACGGUGACCAAGAGGGAGAUGAAUGCCCUCUAAACCAAUGUUUCUAAACCAAAGUUCAACAAAAGUUUUUCAACACUCUCACUCAAUUAAGAAGCAUUCAUCAAUUCAUCAAUAAUCUAGCAAAACUAAGAAAAUAAGUUGUCCUCAAAAGUAUUUAUAGUUUAGGCUAAUUAUUAUAAUUUUAGGGCCCAAAAGUGACCAAAUUGCAAGAAAAGGCCCACUGGGGGCUGUUUUGAUUCGCUCUAAGCGGAUCCAAAGCACAUUGGGAGCAAAUCCUUUCCAAGGGGCUUUCUAGCCCCAUUUUGCCUUCCCUUGCCUCCUCCAACGAUCCUUGGACCAAUGUGAGUGCGAUCAUCAACAAAUGACACCCUUUUGAUGGUAAGGAGGUUUCUUCAAGUACCUCCUGCUUCAUGAACAAUCCUUGUAUCCUUUGAAGCUCUCGGGCUUGACUUCUAGUGAAUGACUUGGAGCUAAUUUAGAUUGUAUCAGAAAGAGACCUCCAUGUUGGUCGGAAUAUCUUUCUCAUCCUUUUAAGACUCUAUUCGAAAUGAGCAUAUUCAUACAUACACCCUUUUCAUCUGGAGUUUUAGCUUCCUCAAGCUCAAAGUUUCUAGCUUCAGAAAAGAUCUCCUCAUUAUUUGGAUCAACUGGUACUUCUAUGGUCGUGAAGGAGAUAUGUAAAUUGUUAGAAGAAGGAAUAUUUUGGCAAGUAUCAACUUCAGCUUCACUAACUUGCACUUGGAAUGGAUAUUCUUAUUUUUAUGCAUAGCUUCUAUUCUUAAUACAUCAGUGUUGGGCCCUUUCACUGGAAUCUCCUGGAGGGAGGAUAAUUCCUUGACAAUGUCUCUUACCAACUUAGAGAUUUCAUUCAUGGACUUUCCCCUUUUUCUUGAGUAGGAUUUUUCAUAAAGCGUAGUUGAUUUUAUUAGAGGAGGUAUGUUUUCUCACUCUUAUGGUUUUCUAGUGACAAGUUCUUCAGAAUAGCUCAAGAGUUUAUACAUUCGAAACCUUGACAACCUUUUGUUAAGCCUCAUCCUUGAACCAUUGAUGAGUAGUCACUAUUAGGGGGUUAUUAGUAGUAAUAGUCUUUCUUUCCUUGUUAAUUAGAUUGGAUUUCCAUGUCUUUCUCCAUUUGAACCUCCAGUGGUUGGAACUAAUGGUAGACAUAUCUUGCUUAUGUUAUGAGGUAGUUGGCUUGGAUUUUUGGAUCCUUUUCCCUUUUCCCUUGCUUAACAGUAGUACAACCCGCUUGCGGAUCCUCUUUUUGCACCUUAGUCGUAUCAGCCACAUUCAUAAAAACAUGAAUCAUUUAAUUGUUGCAAUUUUGGCUAACUACCUUCGCAGUGUCGUCGUUUCUGCUGGAUAUUGAAGGAGAUUUGCCACUGAUUUAGGAUAGCUCCUCCUUAACUUGGGGUAUUGAUCUUGAACCAUACAAUGAUUGCAAAAUUUCGAGUCAAAUCAUAGUGAAUUUUCUGGUUUAUGCAAACUUCCUUGCCUGCAACAUUAUUAAUUCUGACAAUCACUUCAUUGGGAGGAAACCAUAUGACAUCCACUUCAACCUUAACCUUGGCAGUGGUAGGUCUGGAUUUGGCUAGAAUGGCCUUAUCUUUGAUAAUAAGGGAACCUAUUGGUUCUAAAUUCUACUCAACCCAUUCUAAAAGUAAUGUCAAUGGAGUUUCGAAAGGGUGACCCAAACAACCGCUAAUGGGUUUCUCGGGUUUCAAAUCAGUAGUCCAAGCAAGAAGUUUCAUUUGCAUUCCACAUAUAGGAUGGAGAUUCCUACCAUAGACAUUCCUAUGAUUUCCCCGCAGGUCAAAGUCUCUGAAGACGUGAUGCAUGUUGCACGCUCUGAUUCUCAUAGCCCCUUUAACUAGAAUAGUUCGAUUAAAAUCAGAAGAAUUUAUAUCAAUAGAGGAUCCGAUGCAAAUACACUUACCUAAUCGGCAUGUCUAUGCGAGUUUGUCAUGCUUGUCCUCAGUGAAAGUAACCACAAGUUCUCCUUUAAUCACCUCAUAUGCUCUGAGGUCUAGACGAACUUUUCUCUUGGAGUUUAUGAUAGAAUGAUUCACCAUGAUAGCCAUAAAAAUAUAGAGGCUUUCCUGUUUUCAGGUGUUGUGAAUAUGAGUCGUAGGGUUGUGAAGAAAAGCAAGUUGAUAACACUGAUGGACUUGGUAGAGGGGGGGAAACUUGGGCAAGGUUAGGAACCAUUGGAAGGAGUGGCGAUGAUGACCUAGGACCGCCCUGUGAAAUUGGGGUCGCAUCUCAGAGGAGACGACCUUUGGAAUUAGUAACGGUUCAAAUUGAUGACUGUAGAGUUAGAGAGAUACGAGAGAAUCUCUCUUAAGAUAUUCUAAGGACUAUUAGCUACCUCAAUUGUGACACAGCACUAAACCCAUU
rnacentral:lncRNA from 1 species